AAUAAAAAAAAAAAGGAGUCUCUCAGGUUCUGUGAAAUUUUUUGGAGCUCGUGAAGAAGAAGAAGAAGAAGAAUCUCUCAAGAAAAGCAGAGAGGAUGAGUGUACAUUAGCAUUAUCGAAAGCAUAGUUACGAGAAUAGGGAAAGAAAGAAGACAGUUGGAAAUCAGCAAAACGACAAUGGUACAGUGGAAGAAGAAGAAGCUAUGAUUCACAAAAAGGAAAAACGAAUCAUUAGAGCUAAAAAAGAAACUAUGAGCUUAAACAAGAAGAAGAUAAAUAAAGUCUUUGUCAAAAAAAUUGGGACUCAACGAGUAAUAUUCGCAAUUUGGAGUUAAAAAGUGAAACGAGACAAAAGCUAAAAGAUAGUGAAGAAGUGAUUGAAAGCGAAACGAGAGAUUAAAUCUUUUUGUGUGUUUUUGCUGUGAUUCUCUCUGCUGUCACUGGCGGUGAAAGGGGCUCGAGAGAGAUUAUUACAGCUUUUUUUUCUUGCAGGAGAGGAGAAGAGAAGAGAGAGAGAGAGCAUGCGCACAAAAGGUUAAGUAGCUGAUCAAACUAGACUUUGAGAAGAUAAAGUAAUUACGCAGAAUUAGUCUUUUUUUUUUUGUCAACAAUUAGUUUUUCUUUUGUAUGAAGCUAUGAUACAUUAAGGCUCUGAUUGGUAAUCUGCGGAAUGGCAGAAUUGCGUUUUUAAACACAAUUUCGCAGGUUUUUUGUCAAUCAACAAAAAUCCGCGUAAUGAAAAAAUACACACAAAAACGCAUACUGCGUUUUUGCUUAACAAAAAUAUAAAAGAAAAGUUAUUCCGCAGAAAAGCGACUUAUAAGUUAUUUAAUCUAUUCCGUAAGAUUUUUUCUGCAAUUCUGCCAUUCCGUAAAAUUACCAGUCGAAACCUAAGUUAAGGUUUUCUUGGAUAUUAGAAGAAGCGUAAAUAGUGGUUGUGGAAACCGAAGAACAUGAAAGGUUCGAGGGUUCUGUUUCUCGUUUUUCACGAAUCCAGUUUAAUCCGUAGUCCAUUUUCUCAGUUCCAACUCUUGCAUCGACUUCUGUUCCAAACAGACAACAAGUUUCUUUUUUGUUUAACUAAUAUUGAAAAAGGGAAAAAAGUAGAGUAUAAUCACUUCUGAUAUAUAAAUAUGCGAAAGAAAGGAGUAUUACUAUUUGUAUUAGCAUAUUCAUCCAAGAGAAAAAUAAAUACCAGAUAGCUAAAAUUAAUUUCAGUCCAUUGGGUCAUUCAUUGGCUUGUUUUGGUUUUUGAUAUAAUCAUUUCUAUUCAUUAACAAAUGGCCUCCUAAAUAUUUUAGACUCAAAUGCUUAAAAACUAUCGACAAUUAACAAAAGAUAUUCAAAUGUCCAAAAGUUAUAAAAAUAAAUAAACAACAAAGGAAUUGUAUUCAAAUUGUCAGCAUGUUUUGUCCAACACUGUUUAAAAAAAAGGAGAAUUCAGAAACAUAUUUUUUUUGAAAUUGUCCCAAAAUUUACAAAAACUUUUAGAUGAACUUUAUAAUUUUCAAAACUUUCUUGUAAGUCUUUAAAUAAUAUUCCAAGUCUUUUUAAACAUUACUCCCUCCGUUUCAUAAUAAUUGUCGUUUUAGAUUUCAUUUUUUGUUUUAAAAAAAGUGUCAUUCUGCAUUUUCAAUGUAAAUUUUUACUCUUAUUUCCUGUUUUAUUCCUCAUUUAAAGAUAAUAGUCUUUAUAAUUAAAUGUUAUAAAAGUAUAUUAAUUAGAGGUAUAUUUGUAUAUUUUCUUAAUUUCUUAAUAUGUGUGAAAUGUGUCAGAAUGACACUUAUUAUGAAACGGAGAGAGUACUAUUUUCAUAGUUUUCAUUUAUCCAAUUUUGAAGAUAAAUAAUAAAAUAUUACUCCUUUUGUUUUUUUAGAAUAGAUGUUUUAAAGAAGAAAAAAAUUAUUCCACAAAAACAGAUAUUUACUUGGAGAUUUUUGUUUUUACCUCGCUUCAUUCCUAUUUUAUCUUGUAUCUUGUUCAUUCAUAAUCAGAAACAUAAGAACAUCAUUAUCGUUGGUUUUUUGUGAGUUUCUUAUGAAUAUUUAAUAAUAAAUAUAAUCAAAUGAAAUAUUUAACUGAAGAAAAGUUUAUUAUUUGGGAAUUAUAAAAUAAGUUUUUUCUGCCACAUGUCUUACUUAAAUGGUUAACAACAUAUAAUAAUAAAAUAUAUUAGAUUUUUGGUUCUGUGGGCCACGUUUUUAAACAGAAUAUAAUAAUUAAAAAUUAAAUAAGAAAUCUAUAUGGUUUCUGGCGAUAAUGAUGCUCUAAUGUUAUUCUAUAUAGAAUGCAUUUUUAAUACGAAAUACAGAUUCGAGAUCGGAAACAAGGUGGAACGGAUAUCCUAUCCAUGGACCACCACCAUAUAAAACGAAAGAAGUAUAACACUAUAUAAAUAUAUAAUAUAAUCAACAAAAACUACUUUUCACAAUUGCCAAUUUUUCGUUAUUGCAUAUCAAAUCGGCUCGAAUGUGGAUAACAUCAACUAAUUCAGGGUCAUGGAACGUUAAUAAUCUGCAUUAUGGGUUUGAGUAAUCGUUCAAGAGAAUCGUUAUAUGGGUUCUUUAGUUUCCAUGAAUAAUGAAGUGGAUUUAUAUAUAUAUAUAUAUAUAUAUGGGUGUGUGCAACUGUGCAUAUAUAAAGAAGAUGUAGAAAGUUUGAAAUCUUUAAGAGUGUAAUAAGACAGAAAAAGCAGAGUUGCGUCUUUGUCCAUGUCUGACGAUUCUGAGAUAUGUCACGGACAAUAAUAACCCAUACACGCUAGGAAUCUCUACUCUCUAGCACAUCCCCCACACUUCUAUUCAAACACAGUUCCAAUUAUUUUCUUCUAGUGACAUAUUACAAUAUACAUACAAAUACUGUACAUUCAAUAAAAUAUAUAUAUUUUGUUUAGCUAUAAACUGAAAAUUGCUAGUAACGUUACUGUUUCAACUCAGAAGGCAAAACAAUUCUGAAGGAAAAUAGAGAAAAAACAAAAAAAAAGCGGUGUCAAAUUUUGUCAAAAUGAAAAAAAUAGUGAAGCCAGUCUUACUAUUUCCAAAAAGUAACAUUUUGACCAACAUGAAAAAACAAAAAUUCCUGGUGCUUUCUCUAGAACUCUGUUGUUUGAUUUAAACAUCAUGGUGAAUACUGGAUACUAAACGGUUGGCGAUUUCAUUUUUUUCUAUGACGCAACAGUACAUGUGAUGUUUCCUUUUGUUGUAUGAUGUUUCUUUUUGUUGUAUUAUACACAGUACAUAUAUAUUAUAGUUACAUGUUAAUAUUUGCUUGUGAAUGUGUUUUUUUUCUAUAUGCUUUAUAGCUUAGUAACGACAUGCAUUAUAAUAGUCUUGCCAAAGACUACAUAAACAAGCCUUUUAGAAAGAAAAAAAAAGAUUAAGAUAAACAAAUAUGUACUAUGCAUUAACAAUUUUAACAUAUUAUUUUAAUCCUUUGUAUAUAACUUGUUUUACUUAACUUAAUAUUUUAAAAUUUGUAUGUAAUUUUCAAAAAUACCAUGACACGUUGAAAAAUGAAAAUGAAGAUUGCUCAUAUAGCAAGCUAAUUCUAAUUUCCGUAAUAUAAAAGACUUUUUACACAUGCAAUAUAUUUUGGGCUUUGGUUUUAUGAACUAAGACUUUUCCAAGCCCAUAUGUUUCCUUUUUGUCGAUUUGAUUUUUGUAACACACAUUAUAUACUUAGCUAACUUCUCAUAAUCAUAUUACUUUUUCAAUUUUUUUUUUUAUUAUGUCAUGUCUACAUACGGUUCAAAUACAAAAAGUAGAACAACGAUUGUAAUAAGGUCGAUUAAAAAUCUGAUAUGGUACCAUAAAAAGUUUUUAGCGAGUGAGUAUGUGGACUGCUAUGGCUAAAUCAAGUGUGUCAUAUUAGGAGUUUAGGACCAAGCAUAUUGAUAUAAAUUUUCAUAAGGGAGUUGGCAGCUUCAUAUGAUAUUUAAGUAGAGAAAUGCAUACUUCGGAGAAUAUAAUUGAUAUUUUGACCAAAAUAGCUACAGCAAGAAGUUCAAGGAUUGUUUGGAAUUGUUCCAUAUCUUCCAUUGCUAAAGGAAGCUUCUAUAUUUCCUAUUUUUCUGUUUACAUCGAGUUUUGGAUUUGUAUAUAGAUCACAAACGUUUGUGAAAAUUCAUUCACAUUAUGAAUGAAAAAACCUAUAGACAAAAUGCCAGGGUACUCGCUUCAAAAAGGUUUUUUUCCUAGUUUCUACACUUUAAAAAUUCAUAAUUAUUCACCUGCAGUUAUUCACAAAAGAUUUAAUUACUUUUGUUCUUAAGGUUAUGACCUAAAUAACCUCUAAAAUGGAUAAAAAUGUUUAAACAUGAAAUAGUAAACAUGUAUCUAAAUAAAUUUUGAACCGAUUGUCAAAAUUUUAACUUAUAUAUAUCUAAAACGCGAUAUGGAACAAUACGGAACAAUAGCUAGUUAGUUUAGUCUGAUUUUUGAAAGAUCAGAGUUUGAUGCACUUACUUUUUCCUCUUGUUCCGCGGCUAUGAAUUAUAAUGUGGGAAUGUUGGGCUUUGGUUUUACGAACCAAAAACUUUUCCAUGUCCUUUCUUUUUAUAGAAACAAAAUUCGGCCUUGUAACCUCUUACAAGUUCCAAGUGGACAAUCUACCUUUUUGAUCGGAUGUCAUGACAUAGCUUAAUACGAUUAUAUAUAAAAAAUAGGGAUUAAUCUACGCUACAGCACAGAAAAUAUUUUUUUGUUCUUUCAAUUAAGUAAAAUACUUUUGUAAAAAACAGUUAUUAUUAUAAAUUUAUUUAUUAUCUCGUAUUCACAUAAUGAUGAUUACAUUAUCAAAUAUAUUAUAAUUUUUUUUUGUAAAAUAAUUUUGGUCCAGAUUACUAUUAUUUAAAAUCUAUAAUUUUAGUUCACAAAAUUUUUUAUGAUCCAGUCAAUUAAUGAAUAAAAUUUAGUUAUAUAAUAUUUUAUAAAUAAAAAUUAAUUUUAUAAAAUAUUCUAUAAUAUCUUACAAAUUAAAAUUAAAGUUUAUUUAUAUAAAUAAUUACUUAAAUAAUAAUCUAUUAAUAAUAAAAAAAAGUUAGAAUAAAUGGUUUUUUUUUCAGUACGUGCCAUAGAAACGGAGAACAACCCAAUCUAACCGAGUAGUCCAUAUAUAUUCACUCCAAAAUGAUAUUUCAAGUAUAUUAUAUUCUUAUAAAUGUUGAAUAAUAUUCUUUAAUUAUGAAAUUUACGAAGUCGACGCCACUUGCUUAUUUUUGAAGAAACUUUCAUUACUUAGUACUUACCACUGUUUUGUCAGAUCUCUCUAGUAUGAAAAAAUGUGAGUUAGAAUUUUAUAUUUUCAAAUCCGUUUAUUGGAUAAAUGUGAGACUUCUAUAUUAUUUUGCCAUCGUAUUGACAGACCCAUUUAGAAUGGAUUUAUGUGACAAUCUAAAAAUUUUAUGUGAUCAUUGUAAUGCCCAAUCCAUUUAUAAAGGAUUAAUGUGAGAAUUUUAGUAUUAAUUUGUCACUAUAUUGACACAUCCGUUUGAAUGGAAAAAAAUGUGAAAAUGUUUGAACUUUAAGUGUAUUGUAAUGCCAAAUCAUUUUAGAAUGGAAAUAUGAAAAUCCUGGAAUCAAUUUUUUUUAUUGUAUUGUCAAAUUAAUCUAUUGGAAGAAUAAUUUAUCUAUAAAUGGCUCAUGGACUUUUUUUAUUUACAACAUUAAAUCAUUCACAACAUUAGACCCAAAGUUAACAAAAUUUACCAAUAAGAAAAUUCAUGAAAAAAGCAAAAUAAAUAAAUUAAUAGAGAUAUGUUAUCUACAAAAAAAGUUUCUUAAAAAGAAAAAAGAAGAAGCAAAUUAGUGGCAACCAGAAGAGAAUAGGAUUAAAGUGUUUUUAGUGCCCUACAACCAUGUGGCGGUUAACAUCUUGCGAAUGGAUAAUUGUCAUCCCUACUUCCUUGUCUUAAAAGUGAUCUAAUAACAGUUCACAAUCAUAACUCCAUCUUUCGAACAUAUUUUAAGAUUAUCGUUGAUUUUUAGAAAAUAUAAAGAUUUUGAAGUUAGAACUGUUCGAUACCUGAUCACAUUGGUUUUUAGACAAAAAAAAAACAUUGAACUUUGUAAAGUUUGUAUAGAAAAUCUCCAAUGAGCAUUUAGUUCUCCAAAUAUUCUAUAAGCUUGUGAGAUUUCUAAUUCCGAUCGCGUUAACAACACAACUAAUAAAGUUAUAAAGAAAAUAUGACUGGACCAUUAGAUUACUGAUCGCCUUUUCAAUUUUUGCUAAACGUAUUUUAACAUUCCAUCUUGAACAAGGAAACAAAUUGCAAUAACUGUUGAACGCAAUCAUUUGGAUGUGUGUAUUUAAUAUUUAUUGAUGCGAUCAUAGAAUUAGAGGCUAAACCACGGAUCAAAGAUUAGGUCGUGAAACAAAAAUUGGAUGCGACCUUAGUCAUUCCAAACGGGCUAAUGACGAGAUCAUGCAUCAGGAGGUUGGUCGGAGCCGUUCAGAAGAUACUUGCCAAGCUCAGAAAUCAGAACAUGGAACCAGCAACAACUGAAGUCAUGACCCUUCUCACGUACCAGGGUAUUUACUGACUUCAGUCUAAUAUAGUUUUUGGUACUCUUUUUCCUUACAUCCGGGUUUGUCCCAAUGGAUUUACCGGAUAGGGUUUUAAUAAGGUCAAAGGCUAUACCAACACACGGCCGCGGUUCAGUACGUGCUUGGUUCACGGGUCAGAAGCUCAAGAGAUAUUUUUGCUUCAGCUCAAGGGUCAGUCAAAGCUAGACGAAGAGUUAGUCCAAGUUUUUCGUCAAAAUCAUUUAUUUUCUUUGUAAUUUCUUAUGCAUGACCCUUGGUCUAAUCUGCCCCUAUAUAAAGGGAUGAACCCUUCUCAUUUUCGGUCAUUCACUUUUCUUAAUAAAAUUUUGAGACUUUUCUCCUUUGUUUUUUUGAAAACUUUGUUGAUUCUCAGGUGGUUAGCCUAGAAUUAUUUUCGGUUUAUCAAGUUCAAUCCAUAAAACUUGAUGCAGCUUUCGUCUGCAAAGUUUAAAGUUUUCGUUUGUCGUAAUCGGGGCUUAGGGAUUUUCGGGAACCUAGUUCUCACGCCUUAACAUCCUUUUACCGACGAGUUCUUUUUAUCUUUGUUCCACCCCCUUGUUUCAAACUAUUCUUCGUGAGUUUGGGCCUAAGAAUUUUCGGGAGUCUUCUUUCACGCCUUAGCAUCUGCUCCAAGAGUCGUUCGGACUUAAGGAUUUAUCAACCGCCGGUCCAAGUGUGUGAAGUCCUUAGGGAGAUCGUAUCAAGUGGUAUCAGAGCCACACACUUGAAGAAUUCGGUAUUAUCUUUCUUUUUGUUUCUUUAACUUCCGCCUUAUCUCAUCUUUUUUUGUAAUCUUCCAGAUCUAUUUAAAAAAAAAAAUAGAAAGAAACUCUAUUAAAAAAAAAAACAAAAAUUAGUCAAAAAAAGAAAAAAAAAGAUCUGUGAACUCAAAUUCUUUUCUUUCUAUCUUCUCGUUUUCUUCUUCAUACUCGCUUGAUUUUCUGAUUUGGUUUUGGAUCUACAUCGGUCUCGAUUUAGUUCCUUUAGAACCGAAGAAAGUCUCUUGUGUGUGUGAAAAUAUUAAGAGUGCUGAGUGAAACACUGAGUGAAACACCAAGUGAGGAAUUUUAAUACUAACGUGUUUGUUCUUUUUACGAGGUACCAAUUUUUAUGUCAUCGGGUCCUUAUUCAGACUCAGGUGGAGAGUGGAACUACUACACCUUUCAUGACGGGAACCACAUUCGUUGGAUCAAUCCGGAAGAAAUGGAUGCCAAGCUCAACCAAAUCACCGAACUGAUGGAACGUAUGAACCAGCGAAUGGAUCGGCUGGAGAUGCAGCCACGGCAAUCCGAUGGAGAACGAAGUAAUGGCCGAAUCCGUGACGAGCCAGACCAUCUAAGGAGAGACCGCAAGCAAGAGGAAGUCCUAGACAAUCCCUUUUACGCAGACGGCCACACAUCUGGAGGAAGCCGUACUAGACCGCGAUAUCAUCGAGGCGUUCGUCGUGAUUGGGCAGAACGACGCGAGCCAAACCACGGGUCCGACCGCGGUCGAGAGGAUCAACACCAUGGACGAUACCCUGCGGCCCGAAACUGUGAACCAGCUGAUCUAUAUCAGGAGCCGUACCGCAGACAAGAACGGUGUGAACCAGAUGCAUCUCGAGGCCGACCUGAUAACAACCUUGGCGGGCUGAAGUUGCGAAUACCGCCCUUUUACGGGAAGAACGAUCCUGACGCUUACCUGGAGUGAGAGAAAAAGAUUGAAACCGUGUUUGGUUGCCAGAAUUUUACAGAGAGAAAGAAGAUCAAUCUGGCAGCUACAGAGUUCCACGGCUAUGUUGUAGAUUGGUGGGAUCAGAUCGUCACCAACCGGAGACAGAACGGGGAUCGACCCAUUGAGACAUGGGACGAGAUGGUGGGUCUAAUGCGACGACGGUUUGUUCCAAGCUAUUAUAACCGGGAACUACACAACAAACUUCGGCGAUUGACCCAGAGCACUAAAAACAUUGAGGAUUACUACCAGGAGAUGAAGCGGCUGAUGCUCAAGGCUGACGUGGAAGAACCGGAAGAUGCUACUAUGGCGCGGUUCCUCAGUGGUAUGAACCGAGACGUGCAGGAUCGUAUGGAGAUGGAGACCUAUCGGAGUUUAUCCAAUAUGUACCAUAAGGCCAUACUUGUAGAACAGCAGUUAAGGAGGAAGAACACUGUCCGGUAUGGAUCCAGCUCACGGCCCAACGACAAACCGAGUUAUUCUUCCCGAUCCGAUGCCAAGCCUAAGACCGAAUCUAAGCCGACUUCAUCCACAGCCGAUUACAAAGGCAAGACCGAGGCUACACCAGUCAGGAACAGAGACAUUGAGUGCUUCAAGUGCAUAGGUAAGGGGCACUAUGCUAACAAGUGUUCGAACCAGCGGGCCAUGCUACUUCUUGAUUCCGGAGAGAUCAUCAUCGACGAUGAAGAGGACACCAGACCGGUCUAUGAUGGCGAGGAGGAACACGCAGAUGAGGGUGAGUUGCUUGUUUCCAGGCGUGUUCUUAUUUCCCAGGAGCCGGUUAGAGACGAUGAGCAGCGGGAGAACUUGUUCCAUACCUGAUGCUUGGUCAUGGAUAAGGUUUGCAGUUUGGUGAUCGAUGGUGGAAGUUGUACCAAUGUAGCAAGCCAAACCAUGGUUGAGAAGCUGGUCCUAGAGACCAUGAAACACCCCCAGCCUUACAGUUUGUGAUGACUGAACAAUCAAAGGCAACUCAAGGUGACUAAGCAGGUAUCAGUUCCUUUUUCCAUUGGCCGCUAUGAAGACAAAGUUCUGUGCGACGUGUUACCUAUGGAAGCCGGCCAUAUUUUGCUUGGUAGACCGUGGCAGUUUGAUCACAAGACGGUCCAUGAUGGCUACACUAACAAGCACACAUUUGAGCAUAAAGGCCGGAAGAUCACACUUGCUCCUUUGUCACCGCGGAAAGUCUACCUUGAUCAGCUCAAACUUGAGCAAAACAGCAAAGGUAAAAACGUUCUGAGUGACCCCUCAAACACUACCUCCACUAAAAAUGAGAGUGAGGAAAUGAGAAAAACCCAGCAAAUGGCCUUUGAGAGUAAACCCGGGAGGUCAAACACUUCUUUAUUUGUGAGGCCGAGUGAGAUCAAACAUGCUAUGCUUUUAAGACAGCCUUUUGUCUUAUUUGUUUUUAAAGAAGGUUUGGCUAGCACUACUGACCCUAAGCUGGCCCUUCCGAGCAGCAUUUCUUCUGUCUUGCAGGACUUUGCCGAUGUAUUUCCGGAGGACGACCCACGCGGCUUACCCCCGAUCCGAGGGAUCAAACAUCAGAUCGAUUUCAUGCUUGGUGCCUCACUGCCAAACCGUCCUGCUUACCGAACCAAUCCGGUGGAGGCUAAGGAGCUGCAACGGCAAGUCGACGAGCUUAUGGCCAAGGGUUAUAUCCGGGAGAGUAUGACCCCAUGUGCUGUACCCGUGUUGCUGGUGCCAAAAAAGGAUAGAACCUGGAGGAUGUGCGUGGAUUGCAGAGCCAUCAACAACAUAACAGUUAAGUACCGCCAUCCCAUUCCGAGGUUACAUGAUAUGCUAGACGAGUUGCAUGGGUCUUGCAUAUUUUCUAAGAUUGAUUUGAAAAGUGGAUAUCACCAAAUCCGGAUGAAGGAAGGUGAUGAAUGGAAAACGGCUUUCAAAACUAAGCACGGUCUUUAUGAGUGGCUAGUCAUGUCCUUUGGUCUUACCAAUGCACCUAGUACUUUUAUGCGUCUGAUGAACUAUGUUCUUAGGUCUUUUAUAGGUGUUUUCGUUGUAGUUUACUUCGAUGAAAUUUUAAUUUAUAGCAAGACCUUAGAGGAACACGUUUUGCAUUUGAGAAAGGUGUUAGAUGUGCUUAGGCAAGAAUGGCUGUUUGGAAAUUUCAAGAAAUGCUCUUUUUGUACGGAUAACGUUGUCUUUAUAGGCUUUGCUGUGAGCUCGCAGGACAUUCAGGUCGAUGAAGAAAAGAUCAAGGCCAUUCGGGAUUGGCCGAGUCCAAAGACGGUUGGAGAAGUCAGGAGCUUUCACAGAUUGGCUGGGUUCUAUCGACGGUUGUCCGAGAUUUCAGUACCAUAGCCGCACCAUUGACCGAGGUCAUCAAAAAGGAUGUGGGCUUCAAGUGGGAACAGGCUCAGGAGGACGCCUUCCAUCUUCUAAAACACAAGCUUACUCACGCACCCUUACUUGUCUUACCAGAUUUCUUUAAAACCUUUGAAAUUGAAUAUGAUGCAUCUAGUGUAGGUAUCGGGGCUGUGCUGAUGCAGGAGAAGAAACCAGUCGCGUUCUUUAGUGAAAAACUGGGUGGAGCCACUCUUAACUACCCAACCUAUGACAAGGAGCUCUACGCCUUGGUCUGUGCACUCCAAACUUGGCAACAUUACCUCUGGCCGAAGGAGUUCAUGAUUCACACAGACCACCAGUCUCUCAAGCAUCUUAAGGACCAGCAGAAGCUGAAUAAGAGGCAUGCCCGGUGGGUGGAAUUCAUAGAGACAUUUCCGUAUGUUAUCCAAUACAAGCAAGGCAAGGAAAACGUCGUGGCCGAUGCUUUAUCCCGGAGAUACACACUGAUCUCUAUCCUGGACGCCAAGGUCCUUGGUUUCGAACUGAUUAAGAAAGCUUAUGCUUCUGAUCCAGAUUUCCAGGAAGUUUACGAAUCCUGUCUUAAGUUUGCUUCGGGAAUAUAUUUUCGGAAUGAUGAUAUCUGUUUUAUGAGAAUCGCCUUUGCAUACCUAACGUUUCUCUUCGUGAUUUACUUGUUGGGGAGGCUCAUGGAGGCGGUCUUAUGGGACAUUUUGGAGUAACUAAGACUCUGGCCGUGGUACAGGAACACUUUUUUCUGGCCACACAUAAAACGAGAUGUGGAACGGAUCUGCAGUCGGUGCACGGCCUGUAAGUACGCUAAGUCCAAAAGCUAAAACCAAGGUUUGUACUCUCCUUUACCCAUUCCUAUUGUACCUUGGACCGACAUAUCGAUGGACUUUGUGUUAGGUCUGCCUAGGACUAGACGUGGUAGGGACUCGAUCUUUGUUGUGGUAGAUAGGUUUUCGAAAAUGGCACAUUUUAUACCAUGCCAUAAGACCGACGAUGCAUCAAAUGUUGCUGAUUUUUUCUUUAGGGAAGUUGUGCGUUUGCAUGGAAUGCAUAGGACCAUAGUCUCGGAUAGAGAUACAAAGUUCCUUAGCUAUUUCUGGAAGACCCUCUGGUCUAAAUUAGGAACCAAGCUUUGUUUCUCUAUGACUUGUCACCCACAGUCCAACGGUCAAACCGAGGUGGUCAAUAGGACCUUGUCUAGUCUUUUGAGGUCUGUGAUUAAGAAGAACAUUAGGACUUGGGAAGAUUGUUUACCCCAUGUCGAGUUUUCUUACAAUCAUGCUGUGCAUUCUAGUACUUUGUAUUCACCAUUUCAGCUUGUAUAUGGUUUUAAUCCGCUUACUCCUUUGGAUCUCACUCCUUUACCUUUGAGUGAACGUGUAAGUAUGGAUGGCAAAAAGAGAGCUGAGUUGGUUAAGCAGAUGCAUAAGAAAGCCAAGAUGAACAUCGAGCAUAAGACGGAGCUGUACCGAAAGUAUGCCAACAAAAAUCGGACUGAGAAGGAGCGAUUUCCGGAAGAGAGAAAAUCCAAGUUGCUGCCAAAAGUGGACGGUCCCUUCACCAUUUUGGAGAAGAUCAAUGACAACGCUUACAAAAUUGAUCUCCAAUGUAAGUAUGCUGUUAGUUCCAGUCGGGGGGGGGGGGGGGGAAGAAGGGAACAUGGAACCAGAGGCUGAACCACGGGUCAAAGAUCAAGUCAUGGAGCAGGAACCGGACGCGGCUUUGGUCAUUCCGGACGGGCCAAUGACGAGAUCACGCACCAGGAGGUUGGCCAGAGCCGUUCAGAAGAUACUUACCGAGCUCAGGAACCAGAACAUGGAACCAGCAACAACAGAAGCCAUGACCCUUCUCACGUACCAGGGUACUUACUGACUUCAGUCUGGUAUAGUUUUUGGUACUCUUUUUCCUUACAUCUGGGUUUGUCCCAAUGAGUUAACCGGAUGGGUUUUAAUGAGGUCAAAAGCUAUACCACCACACGGCCGCAGUUCAGUACGUGCUUGGUUCACGGGUCAGAAGCUCAAGGGGCAUUUUCGCUGAAGCAGCUCAAGGGUCAGUCAAAGCUAGGUGAAGAGUCAGUCCAAGUUUUUAGUCAAAAUCAUUUAUUUUCUAUGUAAUUUCCUAUGCAUGACCCUUGGUCUAAUCCGCCCUUAUAUAAAGGGAUGAACCCUUCUCAUUUUCGGUCAUUCACUUUUCUUUAUAAAAUUUUGAGACUUUUCUCCUUUGUUCUUUUGAGAACUUUGUUGAUUCUCAGGUGGUUAGCCUAGAAUUAUUUUCGGUUUAUCAAGUUCAAUCCAUAGAACUUGAUGCAUCCUUCGUCUGUAAAGUUUAAAGUUUUCGUUUGUCGGAAUCGGGGCUUAGGGAUUUUCGAGAACCUAGUUCUCACGUUUUAACAUUUUCUUACCGACGAGUUCUUUUUAUCUUUGUUUCACCCCUUGUUUCAAACUAUUCUUCGUGAGGUUAGGCCUAAGGAUUUUCGGAAGUCUUCUCUCACGCUUUAGCAUCUGCUCCAAGAGUCGUUUGGAGUCAAGAAUUUAUCAACCUUCGGUCCAAGUGUGUGAAGCCCUUAAUAAGAUCGUAUCAUUUAUUUAGUAGAUCUGAGUGUUUCUUGAAUUAUAUUUGUCCAUAAUCCAAAAAUGGAACAGAGGAAACAGCAUGACACGUAAAGUAAUUAACUUUCUAUGUAGAACUAGUCUGCUCCAUGGAAGUUUGCUUCGGGUAAGCAACUCAAAUAUUACUUAUACUUUAUGCGUUUGUUAGUGGCAAUCAAAAACAAACUAAACUUCUUCAUGCUUUGUGUUUUUCCCUUUUACUUGUAUAGUUCAUAGAUCUGAUAAGUGACACAAAGUGGUAAAUGAAAAAAAGAGAACAGUAAAUAGUACCAAAAAUACUUAAAGAAGAAAAAAAUAAUGAUACAAAAAGUUGAAAAUAUCGUUUUUGGUACGCUAGUUCUUACUGUAUUUGUGAUUGUAACUACUGAAUUGAUAGAGUCCACAGUAUGAAAUCAGUAAAUUACCAAUUAAACAUUUGUACCGCACUGUGUUCUCUCAUUACUGAAAACUACUCAUUUUAUAUAUAAAUAUAACUGAGAUUUUUUUUACCGAAAUCUAAAUUAAUUUUUUAAUUUUUAGAUAUAUAAAAAAAUUAAAUAUUUUAGUUAUUUGAUGACAGUGACUAACAAUAAUUGGAAUCAAGGCCGACUAAAAGCCACUCCAACCAGACAGCAAAACACUAAAUUUGGUGUUAAAAUUACUCCAACCGAAUGGUAUAUGAGACGCUAUAUUUUUGUUUUUGCCGUUUCAUGAACAGUAUCACACCAUAUUUGGUAUAACACUCUUCAUCACACUAAAUAUUAAAAUAUUAUUAUUUUUAGUUGUUCUAUUAUAUAAUAUAAUUAGUUUGUUGUUUAUUCAUUGAUUAAAUAUGUAGCUAAAAAAAAUAUGACAUUGAUAUUUUUGUAUAAAUCAUUUUAAUGAUACAAAAAUUUAUUUGUAACAUAAUAUUUUUUCCCUCAAAUAAGAAUAUUUUAAAUAUAUAUAUACUUUUAUUUUAUUAUUAAUUACAAAGAACACUCAUUAUUUCUAAAUUUAUAAAUUAUACACAAAUAUUUACUUGUUAGUUUUGAUUUUUGGCUUUAUGGAUAUGUUCUACUAAAUGUUUUAAUGGUUUUAUAGAAAAACUUUAAUAUACCACACUAUCUCUUUGUGUUAACUUUAUUUUUUUUAAAUAUAAUUUUAAUUACAUAAUUUAAAUAUUUGUUUGUUAGUUUUGACUUUUGGCUUUAUGGAUAUGUUAAACUAAAUGUUUUAAUAGUUUUAAAGAAGUAUUUAAUAUACCAAACUAUCUCUUUGUCUUAAUUUUAUUUUUUAUUAAAAUAUAAUUUUGAUUACAUAAUUUAAAUAUUUGCUUGUUAGUUUUGAUUUUUGGUUUUAUGGAUAUGUUGUACUAAAUGUUUUAGUAGUUUUAUAGAAGAAUUUUGAUAUAACAUGUUUUGGUAUAAAACCUUAUAAGAAAUUUUAUAAACUUUUAUAAGAAAUCUUAUAAAUCUUUAUAAAUAGUUAUUGAUCAAUACUUAAAAAAAAGAAAAUUUAAAUAUAAUAAUAUAACAAUAAAGAAUAUUCUUUUUAGUGUGAAAUAUAAUGUUAUGGUUGGAGAUAGAAAAAAAAGUAGAACACUAUAACAUCAAAUUUGGUGUUAUUUUUACACUAAAUUUACCGUUUAGGUUGGAGAUGAAAACCUAAACGGAUCAGUAUAGGUGUACAACCUUCUAAAAAUAAAAAUCGGCUAUGUUUAUAAAUCGGUUUCUUUUCAUUUUACCAUAUAUUUUGCAACCUUCUUAAACUCAAAACCUACUUUGAUUGAUAACACAUAGAAAUACUAGAAUUUCGAUUCAUCCAAACCUCUCUCCAACACUAAAAGCAUAUGGUAUUCAACUGAGAAAAAACAGUUGGACGGUGUCGCAAUUAUUUACUUGACUCAAUAUGAGUCAUGACUAUAUGCCUUCUAAACGUAGAUUCUUCAGAAAAGUCAAUUCACCGCAGUAAGAUUUGGUGUUCAAAAUUCAUAAUAAGAAAAUUUAGUUUAGUUUUUUAUUUUAUUUUUUAAGCUAUGAAAAAUUAGUUUUUAAAUCAGGAAACUUUGGAAUAUAAAUAUAAAUAAAAAAGCCAUAGUUCAGAUUUUGUCUAUAUAUUUAAUAAAAGACAUAGUUCAGAUUUUAUUUAUAUUUUUAAUUACAUACAUGCAGAAGUCCUAAUGACCUUAGGAUAUGAUCUAUAGCCUGACUCGCAAUAACACACGCCACGCUAAAUUAAAAGUUUGAUACGAGCCGUGUGAACUAACUAUGAUUUAUUAUGACCACUAAAGUAUGAAAAUUAUGUUCCUUUCUAGCAAAUUUAAGCCGUUAAUCAUUCAAAAAAAAAAUUAAGCCGUAAAAUAGAAUGAAAAUAGCGUAGAAGAUAAUAAACGAAUAAUUGGCACGACGUUAAGCGUAACUUUACAUGGAAUGAUAGGGAGAAAAGUAGAUUUCACGUCAAUUAUUUAUAUUUUUUUCCUUUUUAUUUGCUUUGCUUUAGUGAUAAUUCACAUUAACUGGUAAUACACACCAUGUGAGAAAUGUUCAAAAAGGAACAGAGUAGGACAAGCUCGAAAGAUAAUUGUUUACCUGUCAUUUGUCUUGUCGCACUUUCUAAUUGUAUUUUGAGAACUCUAUUAUUAUUUUAUUAAAAACACUUAUCAUCUAAUUAGUCACUGUUAUAUUACCAAAAUUAGUUUAGUAAUAGACUAAUAGAAUAAGUCAAGGUAAUACGUCUUGUGCGCAAAAUUGAAAAUUCAAUCAAAAUGAUCUUUUCAAUUUAAAACGUCAGUCUCGUAAUUGUCUUUGUCCUACAAUUACAUUGCCACCAAAUGUAGUAGAUGUAAUGCAGGACAACUCGUUAAUAUUUUAUUUCUAUUUUACUUAUUUAAUUUUUAUAAUUCAACCACUAAUUACAACAAUAGAUUAUUCAAGUGAACGAAUCAAUUUAGAAUCAUUGAUUGAAAACUGCGAACGACACGGCCGGUUGAAACCUGAUCCACAAAUUGUCCCAAACAAUUAAUAUUUUGAACCAAUCUAUAAAAAUUAUUAAUGCCUUCGGGGGGAGACCAAUCAAUUUGAUUUCUCGUUUGAAUAAUGUAGAUCGGUUCAAAUUUCUUAGUUAAGAAAAUCAAUGAAAUUGGAUAAAAAUAAGAAACAAAUACUCCCUCCAGAUUUAUUUAGUUGUCGUUUUAAGGUUAUGCACACAGAUUAAGAAAAUAUUAAUUGUAUUAGUUUUUCAAUAUAAAAACAUCAUUAAUUAUUUAUUUAAACACAAUUUAACUAAUAAUAAAACAAAUUGCAUAAUAAAAAUAAUUAUAAAAAUUAAAAAACUAAUAAAUGUUACAUUAAAAACUGAAAACGACAAUUAAUUUAAAAUAAACAAAAUUUUCUAAAACGACAACUAAUAAAAAACGGAGGGAGUAAUAAUUUGUAACAAACUACAAAAUAAUGAUUAUAUAUAUAUAAUUUAGAUAACAAAUAAAUUUUUGUGUUCUUCAUCUUCAAUGAUGAUAAGAAAAUACGAAUAAAUUUAGGUUACUUCUUUUUUUAUGUGGGUAGCUUUGCAUCAUCCAUGUAUUACUCCAAUUAUUAAUUUUCAAUCGCUCUCAGUGCAAAAAGUAUGUAAAUAAAAAAGUAUUAACAGAAAAUAUCGAAUUGUUUUUCCUUUCUCUAAAGUACUGUCUAAUCAGUGACAAAAAAAUACAUAAGAUAGACGUUUAAAAAAAAUACACAAGAAAAAAAUAAAAAAAUUUAUGUGAUGCUCAACCCUAAAAUACUAAUGCAGGUGAUAUGUAUCUGAAAUUAGCAGCCUCUUAAAUUAAAAAAAAAUCUAGAUUUAAACAUUGAUAAAGACAAACUAACAUAUCAAACAAAAAACAAUUACACCACAACAAUCUAAAUCAAAUAAAAUAAAAAAGACUGAAAGAAGGUUGGCAAUAGGACCCACAAAACACACUGUCAGAAAAUCUUCAGAGUUUCAGAGAAGAAGAAGAAGAAAGAAAAAGAAGAAUCAAACAGUAGUAAAUCCCAGGAAUAUUAUAUUUUCUUACCAAAUCAAAAAACCUAUCUCUUCUUAUUCUUGUCUCUUCCAUUUCCAGAGAAUAUAGAUCCUAAACCAAACAUAUUCCCAGAAGGGACCAUGUUUAUAACCGGACUCACUCUAAUCCCUCCUCCAUGGCUUCCAUAACUGUAACCUCCGUAAUUUUUCUUCAAUGGCGGUUUCUGAAAGCUACUGUUACUCGAUGUAGAAGAAGAAGAUGAUGAUGAUGAUAAAGACGACGAUUGUUGUAGCUUUAUAUGCUCUGUUGUGUGUUUCCUCGAGCUCUGUUUCGGUUUACUCGACGUAGAACCGGUCGAAUUACUCCGGUUUAGUAACGGUAACGGACAUAGACUCCGUCCGUAACUACUUCCACAGUUUAAACUGCUGCUUCUCUUAAACCCCCAAAACGACUUCGUAUUGGGUUUCUCCUCCGUUACGGAGACGUCAUCGUCUUCUUCAACCGGUUUCCUCUGUUUCCUAAAAUCCGGUUUAGUCGGUUCGGUUGGACCGGUAUCGGGACCUUUCUGACCCGGAUUGCGUUUCUCGGGCGGUGGCGAUUCGGGUUUCUUCUUCUUCUUGAUUUCUGUUGGCAAGAUUUGUCCGUUACGGAAGAGUUCGUCGGCGGACCAAGAGCCUUGGUCGAAGCUUUCGGCGGAGUUUACGCCGCCGGGAAUGCAGAAAUCGAAAUCGAUGCUUGAAUUGAGACUGGACGGUUUCGAAUUCGACGAUCGUAAGGGACGUUUCUCGAUCGGAAUUGCAUCGGAUUGACAAAAGUCACGAGAAAAUGAGAUUCUUGGACUCAUAUUAGAAUUUUCCGAUAGAAGAUCCACCGCCAUUAUAGCAAAACGAACAAUUUCCGAAUUCUGAGAGAAAAGGAAGAGACUUUCUUGAAUAUUGAUAGAAAGAUAGAGAGACGUGGAGAGAUAUUUGGGGAAGAAGGUGAAGGUGGAACGAUAGGAAGGGUUAGAAUUUAAUUUAUAUUUUUUACAAGUGAAUUAAAUUUAAAUAAGUGUUUUGAUUUUGAUUUAAUAAAAUGGAAAAUAAAUAAAAAGAAUUUUCGGGUGAAAGAAAUUGAAAAAGUGAAAGGGAAGGAAUAAAUAAAGAAAUGCUAAUAGAAGAGGGGACAGAGAAGCGUGUCUCUUGCUACAUAUUCACAUGCAUGGGCCAAAAAAGGAUAUAUGUUGGUUCUUCACUUUGUACAAUUUUAUUUUCUAUGGUAUAAUUUUAUUUGAUGUAUAUCUUUUGAAAAUUCUUUUAAGAGAGGCUAUUUGGAUCAUUGAUCUGGGAAGAUAUGGAAUUUUUUAUAAAAUCCACUCUUAUUGGAUGUCCAAUAUUUCAAAAAGAUAAUGCAUUUCGGAAAUCUCUUCAUGUUAUAGGAUAUACCAUGUCAAAUUAUUUUACAAUAAUAUACAAUCUACCAUUAUUAUUUUGAAAGUUUAUAAACUAACAAAAAAAAAUCUAGGGUUAUUGAAUCAUUUCUAACUGUAAAUAAAGAGUCUGAAAUUUUUCAAAGAUUUGAAUAUAUGUACUUAUAGUUAUAUACUCAACCCCUUGAAAAUCUCUAGAAAAACUGACUUUUUUGGAGAUUUUUAGAAAUAAUAUUUCAAAUUUAUCAUUUUUUGUUGACUGAAUUAGGUUUACUGGGUACUAUAGAUGGGAGAUAUAGGUUUUUCCGACUCUGAUACAAUGAAAUAUAUUUUGAGACUAAAUUUUCUUUGAGUAUAUAUAGCUUCAAAAUAAGAAUGAUCAACUGAAGAUACCUUGAACAAAUGAAUGAAAAAAUGUAGUAUGUAUUUAUUUUUUAUGAUUCUCGAUGUUAACAAUGAUUUUGCUAAGUCUUUUGCGUAUGGGGAAGAUGCUUCUUUCAUCGAUCCUUCUGCUUUUAUAGCAUUCCAAAACUAAUUUCUCCGGUCAUUACAAGAAUUAAAUUCGUAUUAAUUCUUUCGAUUUAACCGUUCCCCUUUUUUAUUCUUCGGGCUUUGAACAAUUCUUGCUUUGCGAGGUAAUCAUCUUCUUUGUUUCUUUUGGUAUUUUUUUUUUUUAUUAGUCCACUGAAUUUGGAUGAUUUACUUUAAUUUAUUUGUGUAUUGUUCUCUCUAGGCUGUCAUGGAUCAGGUUCAUAGUGAAAUCCAACACUAAAAACAACGAUAUGAUCGAAAUUUUGAGAGCAGGUAGAAGAAUCUCUAAUAAUUUCAAAUAUAAAAUAAUCCACCAAAACUUUAACCUGGUUUGUAGCAAAUAAGUUUAGAGUGAGAUUAAUUCUCUAAUUGUGUGAGUUCACCACAGCCAAAAAAAACAAAAAAAAGAGCUACAUCCCCGUUAUGAACUUUUUUUCCUUCAGCAAAGGGGAAUCAAAUAAAAACGACUAACUUUUACAAAAAGAAAAAUACGGUUAAUACAAACACUACAAGAAAACAUUACAUAUUCCUACCAGAUAUUUCAUCAGAAAAUCGUAGGAAACCGGCUUUUCCUAUCAAUUUCCUACCAAAUAUUUUUGUAGGUUCUAUGCCGUCAGAAAUUUUCAAAGGUAGAAAAAUCGUAGGAAAUUUCCUACGAAAAUUUUGGUAGAAAAAUUUUGGCGGUAGGAUAUUCGUAAGGAAAAUACCUACCAAAUUACUUCCAUCUUUCUACGAAAUAUUCCUAUCAUUUUCCUACCACUUGAGAUUUUGUAAAAAAUAAAAUUAAUUUUAUAAAUUAAAAAAAUUAAAUUAAUUUCAGAAAUUAAAUUUAAACUAAAAGAUGAAUUAACUAUUAAUUCGAUUAUUAAUAUAUAUAUAUAUAUAUAAACAAAUUAAUUAAAAGAGAGAUGAAAAUCUUAUUUAUAGAAUAGCUUCAUCAUCCAAAUUGUCUCAGAUCAUCGAUGUGGGACAAAACCAAAGUUGAAAUGUUCCUACAAAAUUCCUACGAUUUUUUUACACAUAAUAUUUCGUCAGAAAUUAGUAGGAAAUUUCCUACGAAAUACUUACUAGUAUAAUGGUCAAUUGUAUCCUAUUACUUUCCUUUCAAAUUUUGACCGCGUGGUAAAUUAUUGGUAGAAAAUAUCCUACGAAAUUUCGACAUAAUUUUUGGUAGGAAAAUCCCUACCAAUUUCUUAUCACUUUUACUUUUUGUCAAAAUUACGUAGAAAAUUGGUUAUAAAAAUUUCUUACCAAAAAUUUCGUCAAAAUUUUCAUAGGAAUAUGAGAUGUUUUCUUGUAGUGAAACAAUUUAGCAGUACAAAUACUUGAAAUCUACAUAAACUUAGUCGGAUGUUAAAAACAAACAAGAAAAAUUUUUUAUGUAUAAUAUCUCAUACAAAAUACACUGCAUUUUUCUGAAAUGUCCUUCCAAAAUUGCACAUCGGUUUUUGAGUAAUUGGAGGAAAUAACAACAUGUUACUUACAUAAAAAAAUGUUUAGUUUUUGUCAUUUGACAAACUCGCUCUUGGUUUUUUUUAGCUCACAAAAAGAAAAUCAAAAGUUACAGAAAAUAUUUAGAUCGUAUCAAAACCCAAUCAAACCCAAAGUCAAUAAAAGUAAUCUAAAUCCAAUGAUAAGUCAAAAAACAUAUGUGCAAUGUUUGAAAUGUUUAGAGAGUCAACGUUGGGAUUCGUGUUGACUAAUGUGAUGAAGCAUUGAACAUAGACCAAUGGUGCCAAGUCACCGACCCGAGACUUUAACCAUACUAAAGUUUCGUCACGAACUCUAUCAAGUUAAAGAAGUGCAUUCACAUAUUUUAAACCAAAUCAAUGAUGCUUUUACUAUGGUGUACUAGGAAAUGCUACAUUUUAAAGUAUUCCUGAUGAACAAAUUUCAAACGAACACAUGUCUCGCUUCUACAUAUCCUUAUAUGUUGCUUGCGAUAACUAUAACCAAGUAAAAACAAAUAUAUUAGGUAAUCAGGUAUUCUAAAUGCUAGAAAGAUUAGUUGAAAUUUUAGCAAAAAAUGGUUAGAUGAUAGUAUAAUUCUUAUAAAGUAUAAGAAUAAUAAAAAGAAAAAACACGGUGGCAUUGUUGAUACUCCCCAAUCAAUACGAGCAGACACAUAUCAUAUAUAUAUCAAAAUUCAAGAAUAUAUAAGAUUUUAGGUUAGACCAUAACACAUAUGCGUUGUUAUCCACUUUUGUAAGUUGAAUAUGAAAUAUUUAUCUGGUAUCCUUUUACAAAAAAGAUUAAAAAAAAAAUGAAAUUCAUGUAUCUGAUCUAAGAUUUCGUUAUGUUUUUUUUUUUUCAUUGUCACGAUUGUAUCUUCAUUCCUUUUAAAUUUAGUGUCUACUUAGUUCCGUUGUAUACUUCUUAUACAUACCACUUGUAAAGCAGUGACAAAACCCUAAUUUCUAGUACUUAUAGUCGAAAGUAUACUUUUUCUUUUAAAACCAAAAAUUUCUGAGUCUAGACCCAUAAUAUUUUUGCCGGGAAUUAGACCAAGUUAAUUUAGUCUCUUUCCCACCGUCAAUUCUUUGAACCCAAAAAAAUGGGUUAGUUACCGAAGGCGGAUUAUAUUCAACAAUUAAUUCAAAUAUAGCUUCCUAUUUCAAGGAAAGAAAUAUUACUCAAAUAAAAUGAACUUCUGUGUAUUCUAACUAGAUGGGUCUUUAGUGAUAGAGAAGUCCAAACUCCUUCAUUUUAAUGAAUCAGACGAAUCAUAAGAGUUUGCUUUUAUAAAAAAAAAAAGAGCUUGCUUUUCAUCAAAAUAAAAAUCGAUUUUUGCUUAAAGUGAAAGUAAAGAAAUUGUUUGUGUGAUAGAAAGAAAAGAGAAAAGGAGAUUUCAUAUUAUCUAGAGAAUGAUAAGGAAAUUACAAAACAAUAUACACUUGUGAAUUAUAUAUGAAAACAGAAAAACAAAGUAAGCAUGGGCAUGGGUCCGAUGGCUACGUACUUACCGAAAACGAAGAAAGCCACUUAGAGAAACUGAAGGGUUGAUAAAUGGUCCACGUUUUCCCCUAAAUCCUUUCUUUUCAUAACCAUUGGGUCGCCCAUGAGCCCACCUAAAACCAACCCGACCCGAUUAGAUCCAACCAAGAAUUGUCUACUCUUCUUGAUCACUUUGCCUAUUUUGGCUGCUCUCGGUAAUAUUAACAAGAAGUUGUCCAAUUCGGUUAGGGUUUGGUUAUGAUGACAGAGAGUAAAAGAUGGUCCUGUCCGACAAAUAGCAUUGGUGCUGUUUUGCUAACAAGUACCGAACUGCUUUGUUCAGACCAAAAACAAAAAAUAAUCAAUCUGCUUUGUUCUCUACAGAAAUUGAUUAUAAAAGCUGAAAUGGUAAAAAAAAAAAAGUUGUUUCCCUUAAGUCAUGAAAAGAAGAAAUAUUGUUUUUGGUUCCGUUUGAUUUAUCAAUCAAUAUGGCCUGAAUCAAUAUGACCACUGAGAUAAUCAUCCAAAUCCAGAGAUAUGCAUGGUCGUCGCCCUCGUAUUAGAGAGGGUUGUGUGCAUGCUCAUAGGCUUACUUACAGUCCAAUUGACCUCACCAAAGUGAUAGAUUCCUUUCCCAAAAUCUUUUUGUGAAUAUGAAUAACAUAUUUCUUGAUGAUUUUUUUAUAGAUGCAACAGUAAAAAAUCUGUCGGAGGAUCUCUCGCCUACAUUUUAGUUUGCAUAAAAAAUGUGAAGUUUGGUUUACAUUUAAUGUAUACGAUUAUGGAUGUGGAUCUAUCGAUCUGUGUAUGUCAUUUUGAUGAUUCUUGGACGAGUGACGGUGCAACUAGUGGUUCUUGAUGGAUUAAUGGCACAUCCAGUUUAUUGGGUGAAAUCUCAACACCUUCAUCUUUAAACUCCAUAAAUGAUUUGGACAAUGAAAUGUCAACAACAUAAUCACGAUUUAUUUAUAUUUUGUGAAGGUUUUUAUAUGAUGACUUCUGCACCAAAGUUACAUGAAUUAGCCAUGAUUAUUAAGUUUUUAUCUAAAAGUUACAUGAAUUAGCCAUGAUUAUUAAGUUUUUAUCUAAAAGUUACAUGAAUUAGCCAUGAUUAUUAAGCUUUUAUCUAAAAGUUACAUGAAUUAGCCAUGAUUAUUAAGCUUUUAUCUAAAAGUUACAUGAAUUAGCCAGGAUUAUAAGUUUUUAUCUAAAAAUGAGUUAAUUCGUCAAUUACAUAUACAAACAACGUUUAGGCAGAUUUCGUUGCUUCAAUAAUUAAAACGUUUAAAUUCUAUUUCGUUGCUUCAAUAAUUUAAAACGUUUAUUCUCUUUAGUAACUUUAGUUGUGAUGCAUCGAACUUUGUUUGUAUAAUAAAGUUGCAUAUGCUUGUUGACACAAUAUUCUCAGUUUUCUAGCAUUGAUAAGCAUUUGUAGACGAUCAAAGAACCAUGUAGGAUACAAAUUAGUUGUCAAUAAUCUAAAAUACAAGUUAUAAUGACUUUGUACCUUACAAUCUUACACCACUUAUACAUUACAAUUCUGUUGGUCCAAACCACCUAAGAAAGAAAAAAAGAAAAGAUGAAGAUCGUUAUACCAAACAAAAAAAAACCCGCCAAUUUUCUAAAUUAACCCUUUUUAUUAGUAAAGUUUUCUAAAAAUCAACUUUUUUUUUGUCAACAACUAAAACCAAUCUUAGUCAAAUUUUUGAGUUAUCCAAAAGAAGUCGACAUUUUCGUUAGUUCCAAAAUAGCUCAAACUUUAGAGUUAUCUAAUUUUUUUGAUGAUACUACGUAACAAGUUUAACAUUCAAAAAUUACUCUAAUCGAAACAAACUUGAAAGAAAAAAACUGCUGUGGAAAUAAAUAAUACGCGUUAUCUUGAAAAAAAUAGGAAAACUAAACGCGCGAUUUGGUCAAUGUGGUCGUGGAUGGGUCACCUAAUCUUUUUAAUUUCCCUCUAAAAAAAGAAGAAAUAAAUUUUCUCCCAAUUUCCUCGAAGAAGAACAUUAGAAAAUAAAAUGUCAGGAACUGAAAAAAACUACGAAACCAAUCAGAUUCGGCCAUUUCUUUCCCUCUUUUCUUUUUUCUCCCAAUCACUCUUCAGAUUCCGAAAAAAAAAGCAAACAAAGAAAGAAAAAAUAGAUUCUUUAUCACCGGAGUUUUCACCGGACUCUUAAAAGAUGAAUACGCCGAACUGGGAACUCCGGAGUUGCUGUAACCGAAACCAGAACACGUUCCUCAUCACCAUCGGAAUCUUCACCGUCGUUAUCCUUGUGGUUAGUUUUUCCCAUCUAAUGUCCUUGAGAGAAAGAGUUUAAAGUUUUGACCUUUACUUGUUUUCUUCGAUUCAAAUUGAAGAUCCGACAAAUUUUUUUGUAAAAGUUAGUUUAAAGGGUAUCUCGAUUGUAGUGUUUUAUGCAACUGUUGACUUAUAAUUUCAUUCAAAGUUUGUGACUUUUGGCAUCAUAAAGUUUCUAUAUUUGUUCUUGUUUCUUAAGAUCUUCACAGAGAUUUCUUGGUUUUGUUUUUAACAGCUAUGGAGGACAUUUCUAUUGACUCCAUUUAAACUAAUCACGGUGUUUUUGCACGAAGCGAGUCAUGCUGUUGCUUGCAAGCUCACAUGUGGAGAUGUAAGGAAGCUCUCUCACUUCAACUACUACUUCAAUGAAACUAAAAAAGGUUACAAAACUGAUUUUAGGUGUAAACCCUUAAUUCAGUUUGUAAACUUGAAUUGUCCUUUUGAUUUGUUAAAUUAUACUGGUUGAUUUGUGAUCCACUUUGCGAGCAUAACAUCUCUUUAGAUAUGCACAUUUACCAGUCGAAAGGUUUGCUUUAGCAUUGAUGUCUCUGCAUUUUCUCUGGACAUGACUGUUUAGCAUAGAGUGGAUUUUAGCAUCUUGAUUCAGUUUGCAAACAUAAACCGUCUGCUUCGAUAUGGAAAAAUACACUUGGAACUCAGACUAAUUUUAGGUUCCUUGAAAGUUUAAAUGCGGUCGGGGUUCGCUUUGAAUAGGCAGAGAAGAUGUUUUUGUUAUCAUCCACUACUCGCAUGGCUUUCUUUAGCAACAAUACCUUGUGUAGAUUGCUUUAGCAAUGUUUGUCUUUGGAUAUGGCUGUUUAGCACGAUCGUAAAGUUGGCAUCUUGAUGUCGAGUUACGAUAUCCUUAUUUAUUGUGCCAUUCGCUAUAUUCCUCAUUUGGUAAACAUUGUUUUAUCCUCACUUGUAUAUGAUUCUCGCUCUAUUGCUAAUAUGUAAACUACUAAUAUACGAAUAUACGUCAUUAGUCUAAGAAGCCAAGACACACAGUUAGCUCAAACCUUAGCUUUAGGUCGACCGUAGCGUAGGACUAAAUGUUAACAGAUUAUAGCUGGCUGCUGGUCUGAGUUUGUGAGAAAGCAGUUAGUGAAAGCGAAAUCUGUAAAGAUGUCUCUGCAGAUUGUUAAGGCUGUAGAAUUUAUAGAAUUUGAUUGGGAUUCCGGAUGAAAGCCUUUUCAUUAAUAAGUUUCUCUAGUUGGUGAGUGUUAUAAGAAUAGCAGUGUACAGCUUAGCUCUUAUCAUAGUUCCAAUAAUGCAGAAAAGAUAGUAGAUAAGUUACACCGCUCAGCCCAAAAAAAAUCUUUGAUUAUGUAUUGAUUGCACAUUAUUUUCAUCAAAUGCGUGCAACAUUCUCUAUGUUAAUCUGCAACUUCAUUUUUUCAGUUUGCACUUUGCACAGUCGCAUAUAAUAUGGAUAUUGUGUGCCUAAAAACAAAUGUGGCUAAUUUUUGUUUGAACUUAAUCUUCUUCGUAUUGAAUCAAAAAGGUGGAGGGGAUGGAGGUGAAUGCAAAUGAAGGAGGUUCCACAACAACACGUGGCGGCAUCUAUUGGCUGAUCUUACCUGCUGGCUGUAAUAUACAAUCUGUCUAUCUCCCUUAAACAAAUCAACCAUUUUCAAAUUUGGACCUUCCAUUGUUGAUGGCUAAAAGUGUUACAUAUAUAUUUGUUGUAAUGGUUAUAGAUCUUGGCUCAUCAUUUUGGGGAAUGGCUUUGAUUCUUGCAUCUACUAAUCUGCUUACAGCAAGAAUAGCUGCUGCUGGUCUCGGUCUUGCUUUAUUCAUCGUCCUCUUCAUUGCCAAAAACGUAAGUAGAAUUCAUUUUUAUCUCAUUGAGGCAUUGACAUCAAACCAAUGACAUCCAAAUUUUCAACCUUGACAGUGGACGCUUCGAGGUCUUUGUAUAGGUGUGCUAUCUCACGGUUCUUCUUGUUAAAUUUUUCAUUUUUUAGUUCUCAAAAUGAUAGUUGACAAAAAGAUUCUAACAAUCAGUGAAAAAGUCUCUCAGGUUUCAUAGUUUUCCUCGCUAUCAUAUGGGUUCUACAAGAGUUAACUACAGUAAAAAUUCUCCGUUAUGUCAUUCUGUUCAUCGGUAAAUGAACCUCAUUUUGUUCAGUCUUGUUAACAUGUUUGAGUUUCAUCUUCUCCGUAUGAAAGCCAGAUUCUUGAUAUUGCAGGUGUGAUGAAUAGCUUAUUCUCAGUUUACGGUAUGUGUUUCCUUUUCUCUCCCAAUAACUUCACUUAAAGUUAUGAACUUAUGAACAAGAAAGAAGCCUCAUUUGGUUUUGUUCUGCAAUGGCUAUUAGAUAUCUACGAUGAUCUGAUAUCGCGAAGAGUCCAUUCAAGUGAUGCUGAGAAGUUUGCAGAGAUCUGUCCUUGCUGUACUGGUUGUGGCUGGGGUGUCAUAUGGUGAGACUUUAAUCCAAUUUUACACACAAAAAACAACAAAUCUUUGUUUUUUCUUUGUUUCUGACCAAAAAUGGUUUUGAUUUUUCAGGGGAAUGAUAUCUUUUGCGUUUCUUUGCGCAUCAUUGUAUCUUGGGCUAGUGAUCCUAUCAUAAAAAGGUGUUCUUUUGGUUUUGGCUUUCUUGUUUUUUGUUAAGCACAUUUUUGCUUUUGAAUUUUGAUUAAGCGUUUUCAUGAUUUUUGUGAAUUUUUGGUGUCUCUCAGGUUUCAAAUUCUUUCCAGUGAACUGCGGAGUCUCCUUUCUUUCAUCUAUGCGCAGUUUUUUAACAGAAAACAUUUUUUUGAUUAAAAAGCUUGAUUCUUUAGAUCCCUUUGAUGUAUUUACAUUUGAUUGAAAGUUUAGGGUUUAUCAUUUUUUUUUUAUUCAUUUUGGAGUUUGUGUUGAAUAGAAUUCAUUGAUUGUUCUGUUUUAAUGCAUUGUAAGUCCGUUGAUCUUGUCAUCAAAACAAAACUCCGUCGACUUAUUCCUGUAAAUGGUCAUAGUAUCCUCGAUUAGACUUCGUCCUUUCUUCCAAAUUGAUACUUAAACACCAAAAUCUAUUAUAUAAAGACUCAGCUGAGUCUCACAAACUUGACACAUCAGCUUUCGAAAAAAAUAAUUUUCUCAAUUCCAAAAAAAUCUAAUUUAUCAGCCAUGACACAAGUACAAAUCUAGUUUCUAUCUAGAAAAGUCAUUCUCUUACAAUAAAAAGGAAAUGCAUUGAAUUUAUAGUGUUAUUACUUUGUAAACGACACCCGAGAAAAUUGAACGAGGCUAAAAUAAAUUCAUUUUUAUAAAAUGGAGCGGCAUUCCACCUAUUUUUCAUUUUUCUCUUACGCGCUUAAAAAGCUCCAGAAAUCAGGUAUAGCGCAACUGCAGUCACGUUCAUAACCAACAUUAGAAAAGAAUUAAGGUCUUGAAAUAACAUAUCCAAAAUGCAUAUUUCUUGUGUUAAUUUUGUUUUAGUGAUUGUGGUUUUUAGUGUUUCAGAUCAGAAAGGCGAUCAAAUACAUGGAUAUAAUCACUCUACUCUACGUGUCUACGAGGAGGAAAUGAUAACCAAUCCUUCUCUCAUAGAAAGAGAGCUAGGAUCAAGCUGUAUGUAGUGUAAUUACACACUAUAUAUAUAUAUAUAUAUAUUCAUUCCUAUUUUAUGUAUAUAUAUAAGAAAAACUUUAUGUGCCAUUAAAAAAAUUAUUUCUUGUUUCCAUAUUAAUUUAGAGUUUUAUAUGAUGUUUUUUGUUGUUCGCAAAACAUUGAAAAAACCAUAAAUAGUUUGUUUAUUGCAUGCAUGAAAAAUUAUGAUAUCUUUGUAUGCGUAAUGCUCUGGUGCCUAACAAUAUUAUUAGGUUUAGAGCAGAUGAUAUAACAAACGAAGUUGAAGUUUUAGAGGCAUUUUGUCUUCUGUUCAAUUUCUGUUUAUAGUUUUCGUACAUCUUAUAUAUAUACAUAAAACUGACAUAUAGUGAAUGCUUAACUCAAUCUAAAAUCAGUUAUAAAAUUUUCUUACGUAGCGCCUUAUUUCUCUGUCACAUAGACAAAAUUCUUUGUGUAUCAGGAGAAUGUAAUGCCCAAAUUUUAUCAUAUUUACUUUAUUGACGUCCGAACUUUAUAUUUUUAUAACAAAAAAUGAAUAUUUAGAAAGAAAUUAUUGUUUUUAAUAUUUAUUACCCUAAGCAGAACUCAAAGGAUUUGAGAUGAGAUUUAAAGCUAAGCUGAAACAAACAAACGCAAUAUUUUGUAUUUUAUUGUGUGUCUUUGAGUGUACGUAUUUUGUUAAUUUUAUUUCAUUAGUAAAAAAAACAGAAAAUAUAUAAUAAACAGACAGAUAUAUGUCUUAUUUUAAAGAGAUAACAAUAGAAAGUGAUUUGCGAUUACGUAAUUCUAUCAUGAUCUAGAAAAUUUAAAUUCGCACAUAUAUAUGUAUAUAUAUUAUUGAUCAACUUAACUAUUAUAUAUAUAUAAAUUACCGCGUGUACACGCGAAGUUUUAUCUAGUUAUUGUAAUAGUUGUGUACAAAAUAUCAUGGUGUAGAAAAUAAUUGUUGUAGUUAAAAAUUCAAUAAAAAAAAUAAUCAAAUUCUAUUAUAUGGAGGAAAAAUUUCAUAUUUUGUACUCUUAUUAAAUUUCAUAAUAUUUAAAAGUAAAUUUCCAUUUUUCUUCAAAAUUACAGCGAAUAAAUCCUAACUUUUUUUGUUUGAUAGAUAAGCAAUCUUUUUUGUCUGAUGGUAUAAAGAGGUAUAUCGUUUGGAAUCUUCCGAGGUUCAUCUUGCAUUAUCUUGGUUCAUCUUCCAAUAUAUCUAUUGGUUUGUAGAUUAGGUUGAAGAAAAUGAGAAAAAUUUGUAGUAAAACCUUUCUUUGAAUAUUUCUGUUAUAACGAAUGCGAAAAAAUGAAGUUAUAAACAUAAGGAACACAACACAGAUUUAACGUGGUUUACCAACGAUGUGUUGGUUACUUCCACGAACAAAAAAACCUAUUUAUUAAGGGAGGCAAAAGGUUCAGAAAACUCUGAUGAAGGUUCUGAAUCAUAAUCGGAAUACAUCAGAAUCGGAAUACAUCAGAAUUAGGUAUCACAUAGGUAUUAUAACUACCUAGUUAACCCUAAUCAUUUUUGGACCUGUCGUUCACGCCUAUGUAACGUCCUUAAGCUGAUAGCUUCGACCCAUUACUCAAACCGACAAUCUGCAGUAAGCUUCGUAGCUUACACCUCAUCUGAAAACAACUCCGCAGCUUACACAAUCUGUAACCAACAUCUUCUACAGUUUGCUAUGUAGCUUGCACCUUCCAGAGGUCACACUUUCCGCAAGUCGCACCUUAUGGAAGUCGCACCUUACGCAAGUCGCACCUUACGCAAGUCGCACCUUACGCAAGUCGUACCUUCUGCAGGUACCUUCUGCAAGUUGCACAAUCUACAUUAUGCUCUGUAGGUCCGCACCUUCUGCAACUUGCACCUCUCACAGUCUCAGAUUUAAGGCACAUUAACAAAUCUCCACCUUGUCUUGAAUCGUCCAAACAGAUGUACCAGAUGCACUUUUACAGUGCCAGAUGUACCGAAUUUUUCAUUUGCCUCACACGUUUGAUAACACCUAAUUUUGACAUAUUUUCACCAUUGAUUUCAAAUGCUUUUUCAAAGGUUUUAAUCAGUUUUAGGAAUUUUUAUUAUGAUUUCCAUGUAUUUAUAGUUUCAAGACUUUUUUCAGGAAACUUAGGGAAAAUGAUGGCAAAAUGGAAGAAAUCCACUUUUUAAAGCUCAGAGUCAGACCGUCAGAAGUUCAGCCUCAAAUGAAGACUUUUUCAACGUCUGAUCUAGUUCAAAUUUGGAGACAAUCAAGAGGAGACAACCAGAUUUCCAUAGCACUUUACAUCACAAAGAUUCAAUUGUGCAAUCAAAAGAUACAUGGAGAACAAGCUGACCCAGUUUACCAGUCCUGGAAGACUCUCACCCGCGGCAAAAUCAUGUUUUACCUGCCCUGGAAGACUCUCACCCCCGGUGUACCUUAGGACGAGCCACAAGGCCCAACAUCAAAGCCCACUUCGCCAUUCCUCUUUAGAGAAGCCCUAAAUGAGACCUGGAAAAACUUAGGACCUAUAAAUACAUUGUUUAGCGGCUCCAAACAGGUGUGUGCUCCUGUAAUGAGAUUUUGAGCCACCAAAAUCUGUUUCUCUAGGGUUAGGCGAUGGAGAUGGGGAUUCUUCCCCAGAUCCAUUGUUCUUUCUCCUUUCAAUUCUACUAACUUUUCUGUUUCACUCUUUUGCAUUUUUCUAUGUCUUUUAUUAUUCCUUGCAUCAUGUAGAUCUGUCCCAGAGAGUCAAGUUGUUUUAAGAGUCAUCGAUGAUCAUAUAUAUCGAUUAGGAUUUCUAUAGUUCUAAACCAUAUUCUGGAUCUCAUCUCUUCUAAGUUGUUCAUAUUGCAUGAGAGUAGAUUCAUGACCUAUUUUCUGAGCCUAGGAUCGAUCAGAGCCAUGAGAGUGUUGUAUCAGAUCAUCCAUACCUAGCUUCAGAAGAACAUAGUCGCUAUAGGAGUCGAAAGCUACCCAUAGAGAAGAUGUGAGCAGACGAAUUCAAUGUCUAAUGCAUGAUCUUAUUUCUGUCAUGAGAGCGAGAGUUAAUUGUCAUAUCUAAGUGAUUAGUUGAUUAAGAUGACGAGAAUUAGUUAAUCAUACAUAUGUCUAUUGUAGUUCCAUGCAGAUUCCUAGAAACAGAUGAAGAUAAAUCGCCCGGAAGCUAAUUGUAAAUGCCACCAUACAUCGAUUAUAGUAAAUCGGAGAAGUCUAAAUUGCACCCUAUGAGUUUAAGAGUAUUUAGUUUGAGUCGAUAUGCUUGAGAUAUGCUUGAGAUAUUCUUUUAACAAUUCAUCAUGCAUUGCAUUUUAUCUCUUGUGAAUAUUAGAUUAGGUUUAGUUUAGGACUUUUAACUAAAAACCCCAAAACGUUUAUUGGUUUAUGAUUUUGCUUACUUCCCAGUUUGUUGUUUCUUGCAGAUUAGACAUUCUCCCUAUGGAUCGACACCCUAAGUUCUACAAUCUGUGCACUUUCAGAUUUUAGGGUUUUAUAAAUUUAAAACUUUCUUUAUGGACCAAUGAGCUUGUAUGAAAAACAACCCUAGGCCCGUAGCUCAUCAAAGUUUUUGGCGGCGUUGCCAGGGAGGUUCUUAGUCGCUGGAGGUCUAAACCUAGGAGGUUGAAGCCACAAAAGACAAUAUAUAUGUCGAGUUUCUGCCAAAAAAUCAUAGGAAGUAAACCAAACUCAUAAACACCCUAACUUUUUUUUUUUCUGCUUAUUCUCUCUUCUGUUUGCCCUAGUUUCAGAAAUCUUUGAAGCAUGGAUCAUCCAAGAAGAAAUCCUAACCCUGAUCGAAGGUUUUGCAACUUGUGUGAAGCUCCCUACGCAUGUGAAUCACCUUCCAGGCGUGAUUCCAAUCAUCCAGUUCGGCCAGAUCAUCCGAACCACCACCAUGGAAACUCGCGACCUCUACACCAUCGAGAUGAGCCCUUCACCUGGUGAAUCGUCGACCAUCUCAUCCUCUUUCUCAUCAGAUUAUGCACCAGAACUAUGAGGAUAAUCUGUUUAAAAUCCUGCUAAAUCGAUUGGAAGCCAAGCUGAAUCAGUUCCUUGCCUCCCAAGCCAUCAUCGAUGCUGCCCUGCGAACAAGGAUAGAUGACAUGACCGUCGACCUUAACAAAAGGUUUGAUGACCUCUCUGAGCAUGUGAAGAUACUGGAGAUCAGAUAAUCAAAGAUAAUGACGUGUCGAACCAGAGAAUGGAGUCUGUCGAAGAAGAGCAGGACAAAAACAAGUUCAACAUUCGACAAAAUGAAAGGGAGCUGCAAACCCUAACUUUCAAGAUCGAUGACUUGGAUAAGGAACUGAAUGAGAGCAAAAACCAGACCUACGACUACACAUUGGAGCUGUGGCAGGGCGUAGCUAAGGUUGAAAACAAGACAGAAGAGCUUGAUGCUACUCUAGACAAAGUUGUCUAUGCUGUAGAUGAAGUAGAAGAGAAAGUUGAAAAACUUUCUAAAGAUCAUAAGGAGUAUGAUCUGAACUCUAGAAUCAAUGAUUUGGAUACCCAAGACGUGCCUAACAACCACUGGAAGCAAGAGAACAAUAAUGGAGAAGAAGAGAUUUAAGAAGAAAGCAUAGAGAGCCGGAGGAAGCUGACCGCGGCUGCGAGUACUUCACCCGCGGCCAGAGCCACUUCCACCGCGACUCCAAGCUCCUCACCCGCGGUAGAGCAUGAUUUCUCAGAUUAGGAGAACUUCCAACCUCUUUCUGAAACCUGUUCAACUGCAGACCAACCCCUUGUGACCAGAUCUAGGUUGUUUGAUCAAGUUGUCUUCUCAAUCACUGCACAAGCAUCAAAAGAAAAGGAAGAAUCCAACACUUAUGAAUCUUGCAACAUAGUUUACACUUGUGACAAUGAGCUUCAAGAGCAAUUCUCAGAAGAUGAAGAGUAUGGUUUGUUUGUUGAAGAUCCAAACUAUGGGGACAAUUCAUCUAAUGACAACUCAGAACCAAUUACCAAGAGCAUAUCCAGAGAGAGACUGAUUGAAUUCAACAAUUUUGUGAAGUCCAUUCCUCUCUACCAUGGUUUCGACGACAUCUGGAAGCAAGGCUGCCUUCAAGUUUUUUUUUCAGAUAUAGCAAGAAGACUAAGGAGAACGUCUACACUUAUUUCAGAAGAGCCAGGUAUCUAUCUUUUCCUAGAUCAUCACCUGAUGCAGCUGUUUACAUGAUCCAUCUCAAAGAUCCCCACGAAGCCAUUGACUACACAAACAAGAUCAACAAAGAAGCACUUGAAGAGUCAAUCAAGUAGUUCAAAGCCUCCUAGAAGGAAUUUCAUUUGCCAAAGCAUGUAGAGACUACAUGAUCGGCCACUUCUUCUAUGACAGCAAAGAUUCUAUUCAAGAGAUGAAAGACUUGUUCACACACGCCCAAGAAGGUAGACCAUUUCGAAAUCUGCACAAAGUUCAAGACAAAGGUCAAUUUCUUAUAUCUUGUGAUAUUAGAGGUGAAAGAUUUCUCAAUAUUCUUUGUGAUUCUGGAGCUUGCAUUAACAUGAUGUCCAAAGCAACUGCUUUGAGACUUGGCAUUAAGCACAUUUCAAAUACCAUGACAAAGAUUAGCUUAGCAGAUGGUUCAAGUGCAACACCAAGAGGGAUAUCCCGAGAUAUUCCUCUAAGGAUUGGAGAUUGCAUUGCACCUGUCGAUCUAUACAUAGUGAAGACCAAAGAUGACUCUUAUCCACUUAUCCUUGGAUGGUCUUUCUUAGCAACUGCUGGAGCCAUCAUGGAUUGGCCCAACAGGAGAUUUUAUUUUGCAAAUAUCGACAAGGAUAUCUUCUAUCAAGCUACACCACUUAAGAGCAAAGGAGAAAAGCAGAAAGCCUAGGCCUUUGAACCAGAAGAAAUCUGGAGUGAUGAAGAACCUGCAAGACAGAAGAGAAGGAUUUCGAAAAGGACUUGUCUUAGGACAAGAUCCUAUUUGAGCUAAGUCUUUUUCUUUUGCAAGUGUAGCUAAGGACUAUAAACCAAAGCGCUUGAUGGGAGGCAACCCAUUUAGCUACUUAUUUGCUUCUGUUUAUCUUUCUUUUUCUAUUAAAGUUUUGGUUUUUUUAUUUUAGACAGGCCUUAGUAUGCCACAAAAAAAGGAAGAAAAAGAAGAAAGAGAGCUGACCGCAGCCAAAGGAGGUUCAACCGCAGCCAGCAAGCAUUUUGCCGUGGCCACGAAGCUUUGAACCGCGGCCAGCACCACUCGGCCACCCUUGGCCAUUUCCACCUCUACCUUGAUUCAAAUCCAUCCAAGUUGGAUCAAGCACCACUUCACAUCAUCCACCAUCCACCAUUCAAUAUCCUACCACCUCCACAACCACCUCAUAAUCCAUCACCACACCAGGUAAGUUUUCUUUUCCUUAAUCUUUUUAAAUUUUUUCACAUACUCUAUUUCUCAUCCUUGCCUGAUUUAUUUCAUACUGGGGACAGUGUGAUUUAAGUAUGGGGGAGGAUUUCAUCCCUUUCUAACCACUUUUUCUUGCAUGAGCCUUUGCAUUCUGCAUUUUUCUUUAAAAUUUUUCAAUUUUUUUUUCGAUUUUUCACAAAACUUUUCAAAAUUCUUUUGAGUUUCAAAAAGUGUUUUCAAAGGUCAAAUACAUUUUAAGGGAAUAAUGACAAAAUCGAUGAUGAUAACCAACCUGUUUGCUUCUACACCAAUGAUUCAUAAAAAGCUCUUUCAAGGUUUAGUAUUAGACUUGGCGGUAGCUGGAGUACUUACACUACGAAAUCCUACCAGAAGACUUCUAUUCAUGAAGAUAUUUUCUAACAGGAUAUUCUAGCUCAUCUUACUUGGACUUAAUCUUGACAUCUAAUUUUCUCAUCAAUGGUUUUAAGAAGGCAUCAUGAUAUACAUCUAGGACAUCUUUAUCUUAUUGUUACCACUCUUUGUUGUCCUAGAUGGCCAGUUCAUCUUUAGCUGGUACCUCACCUUUAACCCAAACCUUUAUGUUCUAACCUCAUGCAUUCUCUCUUAAGUAUAUAUUGACAGAUAUGUGCAAAAACGCCGUAGAGGGAGGAACAACAUAGUUUUCAGUCAUUCAUGAGAAAAACUGAAAAAGACCAGAAGGGAGUGUGCCAGAAAUCUUAUGAUUCCUCAGAAAAGCUCAUUCUUAUAAGUAAAUUUCAUGCUUUUUAAGAUUAAGUCAAAAGGCAGUUUCCCCUUUCCCAAAAAAAAAACAAAAAAAAAAAGAAGGAAAGGAAAGAAAACCAAAAGCCUAAAGAGUCUUAGAAGCCGAAAUCAUUUGAGCCAAGGCAAUAGGUAUCCACCUAAGGAGUUAUGGAUUCACAACCUAGACAAAAAAUCCAAGUCUGGGGGAACUAUAAGGAGAACCUGAAGAAAGGAGAUCAGAAAUCUUAAAGCAAAGAGAAUGUGACUGAAACAGUGGGGGCAUUUACAGUUCCAUCCUCUCUUGCUGUUUUGCAUAAUGUCUUGUCUCUCCAGAAAAAGGUAACCCUAAACACAUCAAACCUUACCAUUAAAAAGCCUUUUUGAUACCUAACCUUGAAUGCCUUGUUUGAUAUCCUUUUGAUGAGAAUCACUGAAACCUUUAAUAAAUGUUAAGAGCUAGGUGACUGGAAGUUAGUUCUAAGUGUGUGGAUUUUUGCAUGACGGAUUAACAGACUAGUUAUGUUUGUAUUUUGGUGAGAAUUUUCUAGACUUGAUCUGAUUGACGCAUUGUCCAUAAUUAAGGUCUAGAAGUAUGGUUGCUGAUAUUUUUGAGUUCCCUCUCACUUUUGUUGAAUGAUAUUUUUCCAGAUUUGAUCUUGUUUUGUUUGAGGACAAACAAAGUCUUAAGUCAAGGGGGGGGGGGGUUGAUACCACACCUGAUUUUGACCCAUUUUCACCAUUGAUUUCAAUGCUUUUUCAAAGAUUUUAAUCAUUUUUAGUAAUUUUUAUUAUGAUUUCCAUGUAUCUGUAGUUUAAAGGUUCUUUUCAGGAAACUUACGGAAAAUGAUGGAAAAAUGGAAGAAAUCUACUUUUUUAAGCUCAGAGUCAGACCGUCAGAAGUUCAGCCUCAAAUGAAGACUUUUUCAACGUCUGAUCUAGUUCAAAUUUGGAGACAAUCAAGAGGAGACAACCAGAUUUCCAUAGCACUUUACAUCACAAAGAUUCAAUUGUGCAAUCAAAAGAUACAUGGAGAACAAGCUGACCCAGUUUACCGGUCCUGGAAGACUCUCACCCGCGGCAAAAUCAUGUUUUACCUGCCCUGGAAGACUCUCACCCCCGGUGUACCUUAGGACGAGCCACAAGGCCCAACAUCAAAGCCCACUUCGCCAUUCCUCUUCAGAGAAGCCCUAAAUGAGAUCUGGAAGACCUUAGGACCUAUAAAUACAUUGUUUAGCAGCCCCAAACAAGUGUGUGCUCCUGUAAUGAGAUUUUGAGCCACCAAGCUAUGUGUUAGGCGAUGGAGAUGGGGAUUCUUCCCCAGAUCCAUUGUUCUUUCUCCUUUCUAUUCUACUAACUUUUCUGUUUCAUUCUUUUGCUUUUUUCUAUGUCUUUUAUUAUUCCUUGCAUCAUGUAGAUCUGUCCCAGAUAGUCAAGUUGUUUUAAGAGUCAUCGAUGAGCAUAUAUAUCGAUUAGGAUUUCUAUAGUUCUAAACCAUAUUCUGUAUCUCAUCUCUUCUAAGUUGUUCAUAUUUCAUGAGAGUAGAUUCAUGACCUAUUUUCUGAGCUUAGGAUCGAUCAGAGCCACGAGAGUGUUGUAUCAGAUCAUCCAUACCUAGCUUCAGAAGAACAUAGUCGCUAUAGGAGUCGAAAGCUACCUAUAUAGAAGAUGAGAGCAGACGAAUUCAAUGUCUAAUGCAUGAUCUUAUUUCUGUCAUGAGAGCGAGAGUUAAUUGUCAGAUCUAAGUGAUUAGUUGAUUAAGAUGGCGAGAAUUGGUUAAUCAUACAUAUGUCUAUUCUAGUUUCAUGCAGAUUCCCAGAAAAAGAUGAAGAUAAAUCGCCCGGAAGCUAAUUGGAAAUGCCACCAUACAUCGAUUAGAGUAAACCGGAGAAGUCUAAAUCGCACCCUAUGAGUUUAAGAGUCUUUAGUUUGAGUCGAUAUGCUUGAGAUAUUCUUUUAACAAUUCAUCCUGCAUUGCAUUUUAUCUCUUGUGAAUAUUAAAUUAGGUUUAGUUUAGGACUUUUAACCAAAAACCCCAACACGUUUAUUGGUUUAUGACUUUGCUUACGUUCCAGUUUGUUGUUUCUUGCAGAUUAGACAUCCUCUCUGUGGAUCGACACCCUAAGUUCUACAAUGUACAUCUGUGCACUUUCAGAUUUUAGGGUUUUAUACAUUUAAAUCUUCCUUUAUGGACCAAUGGGCUUGGAUGAAAAACAACCCUAGGCCUGUAGCUCAUCAACGUUCCAAAAUGCACUUUACCGUGCCGGAUGUACCAGACGUCCCUUGUAUCAGAUGUACCUGAUGCACGCUUGCCAGAUGUACCAGAAUUCCCUUCUAUCAGAUGUACUAAACGCACCAAUAUUAUGCCAGAUGUACCAGAUGCACUCUUACUGUGCUAGAUCUACUUGGUGUUAAGUAGAACAGGUGUCUCUACAGACCAGACGUCCCUUUGGACCAGAUGUUCCGUCGGACCAGACUCCACUGCGGACUAGAUGUUAUUUCAGACCAUACGCCUCUUCGGAUCGGACAUUGUUUCGGAAUAGACGUCCUUUCAGACCAGACGCCUUUUACCAGGCUCAUAUACUCCUCCAGAGCCAGAUGCCUUUCACUGGGCUCAGAUGCUCCUUCGAGCCAAACAACCCUCACCGGGUUCAGACGUUCCUUCAAGCCAAACGUCCCUUCGGACCUGUAGUGUAUGAUCCACCAUAUCUUCGAAGCCAUAUAUCUCUGUGGAUCCAACCUCAUUCCUUGUAAGCUGAUCAUGACAUGUACUACGGUGAAUAUUCUCAGAUGGUGUCAGUUCUGACAGAUCAAUUUCUGUCUGUAGCUCUUGAAUCUCUUCGUGUAGCUCAGAAUCAGUCUCGUCACGAUAUAUAUACAAAUCCACCUGCAUCUGUAACUCCACCUGCUUGUCAAAGCUACUGUUCUCUGUAGCAGCUGUGGUUAAAGGUUCAUCUUGGAACCUUCUUUCUGAAUCAACAUUAGAGAACAUGCACUUCGUUCUCCGCAGCAGCAUCUGAUUCAUCUGCUCAGAUACACCAUUCGGUUGUGAUGUAUCCGUAACUGCAUGAUGUUGGACAACUCCUUCAUCCUUGCAUAGCUGAUUGAGCUCUAAUGAACAGAAUUUCUCACCUUCCUCUGACAGAAUUUGCACCUUCUUUUCACCUAUACGACCAAAGCUCUUAUGCCACAGCUUUGUUAUAUCUUUGUGGUGAAUUUCUGAAGAUGCAACAUUCACAGAACCUGUAGCUGUGGAACCUCCACCCAUACCCUUGUGCCCUCCUCUGCUGCAGGUGAAAUCACCUUCAUCAUCCUCAUUUUCAUUCAAUGGAGCCGCAAAUCUCUAUGACAGAUAACAUCUUCAACUUUCUUUUUCAAUUUUAUCGAAAAAUGUGAGAUUAGACGCAUAUAGAAUGGGAACCAUCUCUAUAAAAACAAUAGAUUUUUUUUAUGAAGAGAUAUCUGAUGUCCAAUAUAAUUUGUUGUUAUAAUUUGUAUCUAGUUUUUUUGUUAUCAAAAUGAAUGUUCAGAUGAGAAUAUUGUAAAUUAAUUCUUAUCAUGAUAUUUUGAAUAGCAUAUGAUUUUGAUUAAUAUUAAUUAAAAUCAUUAAAUUGAAACUAUAUAAUAUUGAUAAGAACUUUAAAAUUAAUUAUCUAAUGAUACAUAAUUUUAGUUAAAUUUUAAAAUCACUUAAAAUGCAUAAACUAACAGUACCCAACUCAAUAUAUCUUGGUGAAAAGGUUCUUAUGUAAAAGUCUAAUUAUAUAAAAAUUAUAGUAAGGAAAAAGAAUGUGCGUUCUUUCAAAAAAAAAAAAAAAAAAAAAAAAGAAGAAUGUGCAGUGAGCAAUCAUAUAUUCCCUUUAAAUAGUCUCAGUACUGUCAUUUUGAGUUUACCCUCUGUCUCCCCUAUUUUUUAUAUUUACAGUUUUUUAAUAUUAGGUUUUUACUAAAAUAAAAAUUUCACAUCGUGAUUUAUCAGAUGGAUCCUAUCCAUUUCUCAAUUUAAUAAAUAAUAUUUCUUAAAACUUUUCUUGUCUUACUAUAUUCUCAGCAUUUUGUAACACUAAAUAUUUAAAAUGCAAUAUUUAUAUCUUUUUGGACUUUACAUUGAUAUAUAUAAACUUUCGAAUAUUAUUAUGUUAGAUACACAAUUUCUAACCAGAGAGGAAUUUACAUAGUAAAUAAAAUGAUAUUUAUCAUAUUUUUGUAAUUCUAUUAGAAUUAUCUACAUUUUUAUAUGUGUAAAGCUCAUAUAAUUGGUUUUGCAUUCUUAAUGAAAGUUUGUUAAUAGAACUAAUAUAAUUAUAUCAUGGAAGAAAAACUAAUAGAAUUUAUUUUUAAAAAAUGAUAUCAAUCUAUCAAUUUUAUUGGGCACUAAAACAUUUAGGGUCCUGCCAUUGACCAAUACUGUCUACCUCCCAUAUAUCUACCAUUAAGCCAAUACAAUUAUUUAAACACUUUUGUAGAGAAUUUUUUUCUACAUUUGAUAUUUAUAGAAAGACCUAAAAAGAAAUAAAAUCUAUACUUUAUCAAUAAUAUAAUUCUGAAAGGUCGUUUUGAGAUAUAUGUGAUAUAAUAUUAUAAUAUUUAAUUUAUAUAUGAUAUCUAAACUUUACCAAAUACUAAAGUUUUAUAUUUUGAUUAGUCUACAUUGAGAUUACAUAUUGUUUCAUUAAAAUAUUUUAUUUUUAUUUUAUGCUAAAUUUAUAAUCAAUAUUAGAGCAUUUAUUACUUGGUCAUAGGUUUUACUAGAGUUGAAUUUCAUAAAAUAUUAAAUUUGGUCAAAUUAAAAACAUUUGACUCAUUUAGAAUAUGUAAAGAGUAGCGAGCCAAAAGAAGUUGAACUUCUCAAAUAUAAAUUAAAUUUUCAAGCGCAAAGCUCAUGGUACAAUCAAGAAUCUGAAUAACUUUUGAAUGGCCACAUUAUUGUAUAUGAAUUACAUACAUGUAUAUGUAUGAUAGAAUAUAUAUAUAUAUAUAUGUUUUCUUGGUAGUGAAUGAGAGGAGGAAAAAAAAUAAGAGGAGAAACAAUGAGAAAAAGAAAAGUUCAUAAAAACAAAAAUCACAAAAUCAUAAAGUUUUUUCAUUCUUAUUGUUCUGCUCUUAUAUUUUUUUCCUGUCUCUCAUUCACCACCAAAAAAACACAUAUAUAUAUAUAUAUAUUUAUGUAUUUUUGUGUAGCAUUUGACCAUGCCAAUCCGAAAUGCUAAACAAAAAUAUAAUUUAUUUUUCCAGAUUACAGGCCAAGAGAUAGUAUGGAGAUAUAUAGAAGGCGAUGGUAUGAGGGUUACAAAAAUAUUCAGACUAUUAACUCAGAUUAAAAAUUCUGUGAGAAGAAAAUUCAGAUAUGAUUCCAGAAUUAUUUGUUGAGAAUCAAUCCAAAGUUCCACAUCGGAAGUUUAGACUAAUAUGGUCUAAUAUAUAAGUAAUGUCCAACUCUAAUUAGUAUGAGGUCUUUUGGGAAGGAGCCCAAAAUCAAAUCCGUGUGGGCUUUGUCAGUUGGGCCCAAAGCAAACAAUAUCAUACUAAUUGAAAAAGUUGGACAUGCGUUUUUCAAGCCCAAUAUUAUUCAGGUGAAAAUUUUCAUCACUAUUUUCAGAAUGAUAGGCUAAAGUGUAAGAGACAUUUUAUUAUUAUUGUAUCUCAAAAAACGUGGAAAUGUUACAUAAGCCUUUAACAGUCUUUUUAAAAAAAAAGCUAUAUUCAAGAUAUUUAGUUUUUUUUUUAAAUAAUAUAUAUAUAUAUAUAUAUAUAUAUACACAUAUAUAUGAUAUUUAAACUCUAUAAAUAAGAGUUUGAUAUUUCUAGUCCAGAUAAAGUAACGUUAUAAUGCUGCCCAAAAAAUAAUACUACAAAUAAUUAUUUUCUAUUAAAUUUACAUUAUAGCAUUUUUUUUUAUAACAUCUAUUUUAUUAGAUAGUAAAAAAGUAAUACAUCAUGUUUACAAGCCAUUUUGGCAAAGAUUGAAAAACAUAAUACAUAGCAUGAAAACAACAAUACAUAAAAUUAAAAACACAAAGCACUAAAUCAAAGAAGAUGAGUUUAAACGAUUUUUUUCUUCGAAUUUUUCUCGCUGAAAAAGUGUCCACACCUUCUUUCCUCGUAAUCGCAUUUGAUCUAAAGCGAUUUUUUUUUUUGCUAUGAUCCAUCUUUUCUCCUGUUGUAUGUUAUUGACACAUUUCCAAGUAAGAACUAAAAAUAUUCUAUGAAUAAGAAUCCAAUCUUUUGAUUCUUUCCAUAGAAAAAAUACUUGAAAUUGCCAAUUUUCUACGACUGUACGUAUGUCGCCAUACCACAAGGAGUUUUCAUCUUCCGCUCCAAACCCUUGUCCCCUCCAUGGUGGUUUCCAUGUUUGUUGUUCCCAUAGUAAUGCCAUAUCCGGCUGAAUAGAAUCAUCGAAGAAGAUCAAACAUAAAACCCAAAUUCGCCAAUCAUCGUUUCCAUGACUCCUAACUUCUCCUAUUCCCGGAUCAAAAACCCAAAUUACAUCUCCAAACCAUACAGUGGAGGAUAAUAAAAACUGCUGUGAGUGUUGAUUUAAUCUUGGAUCAAUUUGAGUAAAUUGGUUCAAGAAAGAAUUAAAAUCCCAACCAAAGACUUGACGAAUUAUAGCAUUUAUUAUUUGGUCAUAGGUGUUACUAUAGAUGAAUUUAAUGGAAAUGUUAUUUUUGGUCAAAUCAAAAUUAUUUAAUAUUUAUAAUAUGUAAAAAUUUGAUCCAAAAGAAGUUAAAACAUAAAUAGAAUCUCAAACCACAUGAUACAAACAAGAAUCUGAAAAAAAGUUUGGAAUCUCCAAUAUGAUAUACAUUUGCAUUAUUAAAAAAAAAUGGCACUCAUUGUUCUUCUCUCAAUGCUUUUUUUUGUUUCCUUCUCUCAUUCACCACCACGAAAACACACACACAUAUAUAUAUAUAUAUAUAUAUAAAUAUAUAUAUAUGUCAUGCAUUAUCAUUUAUCAUCUCAUCGAUCUAACUCAUGCACUCAGGAUCAUCAUCAAAAUGAUCUUCUCCCUCCAUAGCCUCUCUUGGAUUUCCGGCUUCCAUAUUCUGUUUUCCGCAGGGCUCCAUCACAUUAUGUUUCUGACUUGUCGACACUAGAUUCAUAGAAAGUGAUUGAUCAUGGUUGGUGUCAGGGGUUGAGUCCAUCAGGGUAUUAAAGGCAGAGUCAUGUCCAAUACACCUCGUCGAAAAAAGAAUAUCUUCCUUAGAAGAGCCAAAAUUUCGAACCAACAGUCAAUAUCCAUCUCAUUGACGUCAAUGUCAAAAUAAAUCAGCUCUUCGAUCGGAACAUCAUUAUCUUCCACAUAAGGAACCAAAGCCAUAUCUUCCAUAUUAGUUUCAAGGGAUUGGGUUUUAUUGGUUUCAAAAGAAGCAUGUCUUCAAGAAGAAGAAAACUUUCUUCAGAAAACAACCAAUCUAUCUGGUCUGUAUUGGUUUCGAAAAUGGUGGUCGUAUUGGUUUGAGAAGAGGUUUCAUAACUUGUUUGACCAGAAGCAAAACCGACAUGGGAAAUGACAUUUUGAGAAAGAACAUGAUUUUCUCCAGAAGAAACCAUACCCAUCUGGUUACUGAUUUCAGAGGGAAUCAUAUUUUCAGAAGCAACAUAGCCUUCUACUGAAGAAAUAUUGGUUUCAGGAACAUUUAUGUUCAUAUCAGUUUGAGGAAGAACAUAAUUUUCUAGGGUAGGAAUCCAAUCCAUCUGGUUCAUAUUGGUUUCAGAUGACUAAUGUUUUCUGUUGAUGGAACACAACCUAUUUGGUUUAUAUUGGUUUCAUGAUCGCGAAUAUUAUCGGUUGAUGGACUCCAACUUAUCUGGUCCAUAUUGGUUUCUAAAGUGUUCAUGGUAAAGUCUAGAUCUGGAAGAAAAUAACUUUCUCCCAUAAUGCACAGAUCAGCUUGAGGAACAUAAGGCUCUGGUAUAUAAAUAAAGUCUAGAUCUAGUUGGUUCCAAUCGAUUUCAAGAACAGAUGAGCUAGGUUGAAAUGGGUUAGGUUCAGACUGAGGAAUACAAAUCCCGGAAGACUCCAUCUGGAAUGCAUCUGUGUUAGAUGCACCAACACUUGAUGACAAACCAUAAAGAACAGGAGGGUUAUCACUACUUAAGCCACUAUGGUUAGAUGCACCAACACUUGAUGACAAACCAGAAAGGACAGGAGGAUUAUCACUUAAGCCACUAUGGUUAGAUUCUCCAACACUUGAUAGCAAACCAGAAAGGACAGGAGGAUUAUCACUACUUAAGAUAAUAUGGUUAACAUCAUGGAUAGAAAAAAUAUGGGAAGGUGGGUUGUUACUUGUGGCUGAAGGAGCGUAAUUGACUUCCAUAGGUGACUUGUUUAAUAGGUUACCAAAAAGUGAGUGUUUACUCAGAUCCAAUUUUCCACCUAGAUGAAACUUGGGCACCAUCUUCGCUUUGCCCUUUUCAGCAGAUUUUUUGAAUGAAUCUGCAUACAAGAAAAACAAAAAACAUUAUUGACACAAAGAUGUUGAAUUGUGAAAAGUAUAUAUAUAGUAAAAGAACAUGACUUGCAUUGGUCGAUGGAUCAGGAGGAUGCUUCCUUCUUUUUCAGAGAAUACCACUUUGUGUUACUUUCAACGAUAUUCUUUGCUAAGUUGGAUGCAUUGAAAGGAUAUUCAUAGUCUGAAGGGUAGUUGAAUGUCUUAUCUGUUGACCUCCAUUCAUUCCUCGACAACGAAUGGUUCAUUAGCUUAACUUGUGCUUUGUAUUUCUGAAACAAUUAAUUAUAGAAUAAAACAGGUUAUCAUAAGGCUAGUAAAAUUAUAUAUUGAAAAAGAGUGUAUAUAAAUGUAUAUAUGAACCUGAAGGUGGCUACCGACUUGGCAAAGAUUCAAGUCUGAGUCAUUCAUAAUGCUCAAUAUGGAUUUAGGACAAGAAUCUGUAGGAUAAAGAACUGUAAUCAAUUGGUAGAAAGAAGAAUUGGUCAAAACAAAAAAAAUCUUACCUUUUGCACCCAAUAUGGAUAUAGCUGUUAAAAAUAUCAUUUGGCGCUCCUGGAGUCAAUACAUUGCAUCGUCUUCCAAUAUUACUCUCCAUAUUUAUUCCUUCCUCUCUCUUGUUCUCAGCCUCAGUGGGAUAAACCGGUUUAGUUUUUCCUUCAUCAAUUGCUUUGCCUUUUCUCUUUUGGUAUGUUUCAGGGGUUGUAAAUGUUUUGACGAAGGGUCGUCUUCCUAACAAAGAUGACUGACUUGUUCUCUGCCUCUUUAUGGUUUCUCUAAGAGAUUCAAUCUGAUUUAGUAUAUUUUUCUCCACAACUUUCUCUUGUUGUUCAGCGAUGUUGAUUUUCUUUAACUCUUGGCUCUUCUUAGGUACCACAUGCUGCCAUAGGUUUUCGAUGUCGUUUUCAGAAAUCGGCUUCGUUAGACAAAAACGUGCACUUUUUGUCAAAAGAUCUGAUGUUUCCUUGGUAUUUAUUUCUGGACUUAUCACUUUAACAUCAAAAAAAUAGAUAAAUUAAUCUGUGGAAGAAAGUAACAAACAGUGUAAAGAGUAAGCGCAAGAAGAAUGUGUAAAUGUUUGCUUACGUAUAAGAGGAAUUUUUUUGUGAAGCAAAGCAGUGAGAAAGGAAUGUGAAUCUAUAUGAGGCAUUUCAAUGUUGGCUAUCACAAGUCCAGUAUCCUUUUGCUUUUCGAUCAUCGAUAAAGCCUCACUUGCCUUGUUCAAGCUCAUCACUAGUACAUCAAUUUAUAUAUUAAAUAUUUACAAAAUCCAAAAAAAAACAUUGUUCAAAACAAUAAUCAAGUUUCUUCCAUUUUAGUUUUAGUUAUAUAAAAAAGUUGAAAAAACAAUAGAUUAACACGCACAUUUUCGAUUAUAUAUGAUGAUUAGCUAACCUAAUACAUAAUAUAUUAUUUAUAUACAUAUUAAUAUUUGAAAGAAAUUUUUUGGGCUAGAACCAGACAUCUAACAAUCUGAUUAUCCGAUUAAAAUAUAGAAUAUAUGUAUUAAAACUCAACAAUUAUACAUCUAGGGUAUUCAAUAAAAAAUUAAUAAAAAAUUAGAGUUCAAAUAUUUUAUUAAAUUCUUUCUUAUCGAUUUUUAUUUAUUUACAAAAAAAUAUUUUAAAAGAGAAAUUUAUAUGCGUAUUAUCAAUUAUAUUUGAUGAUCGACUAAUCUAAUACAUAAUACAUUAUAUAUAUAUAUAUAAAUAUUUGAAAACUUUUUCCAGCUAAUACCAAACAUUCGAAAUCAUGUUAAGAAAUCAUUUCUAAAUAACAUCAGUUAUCAAAAUCUCAUAUAUAUUCCACAAAAUAUAGAUUAUACUAAAAUUUAAUGGUUUUUACAAAAUAGUAUCCAAUAUCUAUGACAUAUUAUUAUCCAAACUAAUAAUCGUAGGUGAUUAGGAUUUUCAACAAAAGGGUUGUAAGAAAAUCAUCUUCAAAACUGAGAUCCAAGACCAAUCAGUAGCCUAUAGCUUUAAUAUUCUGUAAAUUAAAUUAUAAAUUAUAAUUUUCUAUGCGAAUUCACAUUUCUUCAAAUUUGUUCAGAGAUCCUGAUUUAUACAAUGUAGAAAUCUCAAGAUCUAGAGACGUUGAAUUAUAAUCAUCAGGAAAAUAUUCAGCAAAUGCUAAAAUUUACCAUACCAAAUGUAACAAAUUAGAAUAAUACCGUUGAUAUGUAAAUGGAAAAAUGAUCAACAUCAAUAUAAAUGGUAAACAAUUUUUUUUUACCUUUAUACGAAAAUUGCUUAAGCAUUGAAGUGAGAAAUUCAAUUGAUGUAGUGUCAUUAUCGAUUAGCAGAACUGAAAUAUCACCAAUGCGUUCAGGAACUAUGUUUCCAGCCAAAUUUACGGUCAACUUUUCAGUCAUAUUUUCAAAAAUAUAUGAUAUGAAGGUUUGAAAUAAUAACCGAGUUAAGGGGAAAUAAGCUAUUGCAUGGACGUAUAUAAAAGAAAGAAUAGAAAUUGUAGACCCAACAAGGUCAUAAAUUGCAAACAACACCAGAUGAAGAAAACUAUUUUAAUUUCUAUCAAAUAUAUUUCAUUUCAUCAUUGACCCUACCUAUAAUAUAUUUUUUUAACUCUAAAAAUAUACCCAGUCUAAAGUAUAAUCUAUUAGUUUAUAUAAUUCAAAAUCUUAUCAAACACAUGGUAAAUGAUAUUAUAGCAUUGGUAGUGAUAAAUAUAAUUAUUUUGGGAAUAUUAUAGUGUUUCUUGACCGAUAUAAUUUGAGAAUUUACACGAUAGUCAUCGACUUAAAAAUCCAUAUAUAGUUAGUUGUUAUUUCAUUUAUAAAUUUUGACUAGAAAUAUACAAUUAGUUCAUUUUUUAUACAAUGUUUUAGAAAAUGAUUAAUUAAUUAACAAAAAGUAAACAUAGAAAAUUUUUGUAUAUGCAUAAAAGAUUUUUCAUAGAAAAAUUUGGUGGAAUUAUGUUUUCUCUUUUUUCUUAUAAUUAGAUAAUAUUUUUAUUUCAGUCAGGAAAAAAUGUAGCUACAGAUGUGUUUUAGAUUUAUGGAAGCGUAAAAUAUUCUUAAUAUGUAAAGUAAUAUAAGUUCUCUAUAUAUUACACAAAAUAUAAUUCAAAUUUUGUUAAUAGUUUUGAUAUCAAAAGUUAUUCAUGCAUGCGUUUUACAAUUCGAUCCUUACCUUAUUUCGAGUACAAUAGGCAUGUGACUGGUCAAGUUUUUAAACUCUUAAGUAACUUCCAUAAUUACGUAGAAACUCAAAAAAAUUCAAGAAUAGAAUAAGGUUCAUCUUUUUAUAAAUGUUUAAUUUGAAACGUAUGCUAACACUUUAAAAUAAAGUAUUGAUAAUUAUAUGUUGUGAUGUUGUGUAAUGUAUAACUAAUGCUCGUUUAGUAGUGAACUCGUGAUCAAUGAUGGACUCCAGCUACAAGUUUGUUUUCCUUCCGAUCUGUUCACUACACUACAAGAAAGAAGACCUUUUAUAUUGGAAGAUAUCGACGUAAAAUCGACGUAAUGGGCCAUUUACGUCAAAUUAGUGACGAAUGAAAAAUUAUCGUAAAACAAUCAUCGUAAAAGAGAAAUCGUCGUAAAAUCUUCGUAAAUUACCAACACAAUAAAAUCGUCAGAAACAAUUCGUCGCAAAAACGACGUAAACGUUCCAACGAAAGUACGACGAAUUAAUUUUAACACAACAACGACGUAAAAUCGAUGUAAAAUUACAUCGGAUUUACAACAAUUUCGAGACGAUCUAUUUCGCAAAAGUCAAAUAAAUUUAUUAUAGAUCGACGUAAAAUCGUCGUAAUAUAUCGACGUAAAGUCGACAAAAAGUAUAUGGACGUUUUAAAAUAUUUGCCUUUAAUUAGACGUAAAUUUACGACGAGUUUACGUCGAAUUAGAAAAAUAAUUAUUAAAAUUGGAUUUUAAUUUAAUUAUUGAAUUUUUAAAAUAAUCAAAUAAAGGAAAAUUUAAAUUUAAAUUCGAAAAUAAUUCAUAAAUUAAAAUACAAAAUUAAAUACAAUUUAAAAAAAAUAAAAACUAAUCUACACAGUAAAUUCAUAAUCGUCGAGGUUGAGAUCGACGUCUCGAGGAGGCUCUCCGUCAUGUCCGUCCGUCGCUGUUGUACCAUCGUUUCCCGUCUGCACUACGGGAUCCGAAGUCUGACCCUGCGUCUGCUGGUCAGAAGGUCCACCCGCAAUAAUCCUGUGUGCUCGCCGUUGCCUCUCUCGAAAGUGGAUCGUGAAUAUUUCUAAUCCGUUUUUGAAGUCUUCAGUCAAUGACCCAUCAACAUUUUUGGGCGUAUACAUCCACUUUCGUAGAUCGUAUAUAGACAUUUAAAAACAAAUAAAUGACUUUUUGUUUUUGAAUUUUGAUAUAAAUUUCAACUACUAAAAAUUUUACUCAAACAUUCAAAGACUCAAAAAAUUGUGUCUUUAUAUGUUUUUUUGGUUGAUGGAAUAAUGAGAGAAGAAAUGGUAUAUAUAGAUUUUUUGUUUGGUUACCAACAUAUUGCCAUUGAAUAUUAACAUCAAAUUUACGUCGAAAUAAAAUUUACAUUAUAUUUACAUCGAUAUUACGUCAACUACAAGAUGGAGGCCAAUUCAUCGUAUUAUCGAUGUAAAAUUUACGACAAUGUUACGACGAAAUGUAAUUCGUUCUUUAUUCGUCAUAAUGUUGUCGUAAGUUUAUGACGAUUUUACGAGAAUACUAUUUUAUAUCGAAACGACGAAAUAUUUUGACGUCGUACGUAAUUUCGUCGUAAAUUUACUACGACCAUAAAUCGACGUAAAAAAUUCGUUGGAAAUGUCCCUCUUUCUUGUACUAUACAAGGAUUCAUAAAUAAUGAAGCUGUUUUGUUCGGUGAGUGCAUUAAUGUGAGUUAUACAAAAUUUACAUUGGUUACAAAAUUAGGAGACCAUCUCCAUCGGUUUGUUAGGUAAUUUAGAUAAUAAUAAAAAUUAAGAAAUGAUUAAAAAGUUAACAAUUCGGGUUGUUAGGUUGUUGUGGAAGAACCCAGGAAUAUAUAAAAACGUGGCACCAUGUCAUUGGUGGAAGAUUUUUUAUGUGUGUGGGCUAAAAAUCAGGAAUAAGCCCACAUAAAAAUUCUUAAUUUUUUUAAUUAAAAAUUCAUAAUUAAAAAAAUUUUAAGAAACCCAAUCCCAGGUUUAGGGAUGGAGAUGUUUUGCGUGAGUACAUUUUCUCUUUCUUAUAUAAAGUGGAUCCACCAUAACUCCUAAACUAAAUGAGACACACGAUGAGGCCGCAUACAGUGUGGAGAAGGUACACAAAUUCCGCAUUAUCGUUAUAAAAGCUAUGCGAAGUCUUUAAAAAUUAUCUACCGUUCUAAUAACUAACUAAAGUAAUCACGAGAAAUAGUAGUUGGAUAACAAGAUUUUUUUUGUCUUUCUGCUAAGGGCGAAAAAAGUAAUGUAACCUGAGCUCUUUUGCAUCUCUUCUCCGGCGAUGCCGACAGCGUCGGUCUCAUCCUCUUCUCCUCAUGGGGUAGAAAAAACAACCCAAAAAAUCUCCACCAUCCAAACCCUUGUGCCCUCCUCUGCCGCAGGUGAAAUAACCUUCACCAUCUUUGUUUUCACUCAAUGAAGCCGCAAAUCCCUUUGCUCACUCAGUGGCGGGGGAUCCUUCGUCUCUAGCACAGCAAAUCCUUACUGAUUCUGAUUCUCUAGCCUCGACUGACAGCAACUCUCGCUCAGAUCCAAUUGUGAUAGUUCCUGCAACAGUCCAAGCCCCCAAAUAUCAUUUAUGUAAAAGUUGUUGAGACAACAGAUCCAGAACUGAAGAACUCAUCAGUAGAGGCACCAAUUGUCCCGACAAUCCCUGCCUCUGAAUCUGUUUCCGUGAAAUAGUCUUUGGCUGCAGUUCCGGAAAUCCUAAAAAGUUCAAAACCCACUGUGAGUGAUUUGUGGUCAGGAUUAUUCAAAGGUGCUACGAAGCAACUGCAGAAGAAAGGCACAACUUUUACCUUCCCAUCCGAUGAAGCUUAUGUGAAGAUUCUCAAAUAUGUAAUCGAAAAGAACAAAAAAUCCUGGGAAAGUUUCAUCUGUGGGCAAUUAUACACAGAUACGCCCUCCCAGAAAACUGUUCAUAACAUCGUGAAUGGAAUUUGGAGUAAGCAUUUCUGUGAUAUUACAGUAUCAAAGAUAGAGGGCAAUACCUACCUUUUUCAGGAUACCAAAUCCUUCCACUCGACAAUGGGUUUUAACUCAGAGAUUAUGGCAGAUAGAAGGUAAAACGAUGUUUGUCACGAAUUAGGAGUCUGGCUUUGUUCCAUUGAAGCCCGAGCUCUCGUUGUCCCCUAUUUUGCUGAACUAAGAAAUGUUCCUCUACAGUUCUUCAAUGAAGACGGCUUUGAACACAUUGCGGGAUUUGUUGGAGAGCCAAAAUGUCUCCAGCCUAUAACUGCAAACAAGACAAAUCUGUAAGUAACGAAGGUAUUCACGAUAACUGAUCCUCGUAAACCUCUUUCAGAAGUUGUCAAUAUCCAAUUUGAUUCUGGAGAGAUCAAUAGAGUUUUAGUGUCCAGUCUGUGGAUGCCACCACUGUUUUAGUUCUGUAAGAGGUGAAUCAUCAUCUGAGGCAGUGCAAUGAAGCUCCAAUCUUUUGCAAGAAGUGCAACUCAAAAAUUCACGUGGAAGAGAAUUAUGCAAGAACCGUCCUACCUGAACAAAAUAAUCCAAACUCCCAUAGAAACAGAGCCAAGGGAUUAGCUGGAAAUACUUAGAAGUGGGUUAAAGUUGCUGAGAAAUCAUCUGCCAAAUCUGUCAAGUUUACUGAGUCUUCACUGGGGAAAGAAAACAAAUCUUCAAAGGGAGAGUUCAGUGGCGCUGUGGUCUGGUACAUCUUCAAGGGAAGAUCGACGAAAAUGUUAAAGGUCCUCCUAUCCCUGACACAAAAAAAUCAUCAGGAGUGGAAUCAGAUUCUUCGGACGUUGCUUUUGUGGACUUCAGCAAUGUUGUAAACCUGCAGGGUGAGCAGAGUGAGUUCGCAGAGGUAGUUUCAAAAAAGAAGAAGAAGGAUAAGAGGGACAAGAGCCCCAACAAAAGCAGCUUAAUAAAUGGUUGAAGAAAAACAAACCGUUUUAUGAGAGUAUUAUAGAAACCCAUGUGAAACAGCCUAAAUGUAGGAAUUUCAUUAAUAGAUCGCUUCCCGGCUGGUCUUUUGAACAGAAUUAUGAUUUCUCCAUUUAACAAGUGUAAAGGCUGUUGUGGUGGCUAAGUCUUUGCAGAUGAUCACCUACAAAGUUAUGUUUCCUGAUGUGCAGCAGUGGGUUAUUUUGUCAGUGAUGUAUGUUUCUACAGUUGAGACUCUGAAAAAGGAUCUUUGGGCAGAGCUGAUUGUUUUGUCUUCAAGCCAGACUGUUGAAGAAAAAGAAUGGAUGGUCAUUGAGGAAUUUAAUCAAGUUCUCCAUCUACAUGAGCAUUCAAGAGCUAUUACUCUUAAUGUGGAUAGGAGGACAAGAGAAUUCAGGCAGUGUUUGUUGUCGGCUGAGGUGUCAGAUUUGAACUACUGAGGAAACACAUUUACUUGGUGGAAUAAAUGUAGUGCCAGGCCAACUGUGAAGAAGUUGGACCACAUUCUUGUAAAUGAGGUUUGAUCUACUUUUUUCCCCUCUUCAUAUGCAAUAUGUGGAGAGCAUGGUUUUUCAGACUAUGCUUCUUGUGUUGUCGUCUUGGAGUUGGGUUCUCAAAGGCAGAGGAGACCUUUUAAAUUCUACAAAUUUUGCCUCCAGAACCAAGACUUUUACCCUCUGGUUUGUGAACAUUGGUUCUCAUGUAACAUGGUGGAAUCAGCAAUGUUAUGUCUCUCAAGGAAGCUUAAGCUUCUGAAAAAUGUCAUAUGUAGAUUCAGUAGAGAUAAUUUCUAGGAUUCAGAGAAAAGAGUUAUUGAAGCUCAUGAGAAGCUUUUGCUUUGCCAGUCUUAGACUCUAACUGAUCUGUCUCGAACAAAUGCAAAACUGGCGUUUGAAGCACAAAGAAAGUGGCAGAUCCUGGCAAGUGCUGAAGAGUCCCUUUUCUGCCAGAGAUCAAGUGUAACCUGACUUAAAGAAGGUGAUUGUAACACUUCUUAUUAUCACAGAAUGACUGCAUCUAGGAAAGCCAUAAAUCACAUUCACUUCCUUAUUGCACCAGAUGGAGAACAUUUUGAAUAUCAAACAGGAGUUUAAGAGCAUUGUGUUGAUUAUUUCUCACACUUUAUGGGUUGUGAGGUUGGUCCCCAGAUGCUGAUCUAGUCGGAUAUGGAGCUCCUCCUUCCAUUUUGAUGCUCUCAGGCCCAAAAAGAGAGUAUGAUAAAGAGCUUCUCGAAGGAGGAAAUCAAACACCUGCUUUUCUCAUUGCCAAAAAACAAAACCAGUGGACCUAAUGGGUAUUCCGCUGAGUUUUUCACCUGUUACUGGAGUAUUGUAGGGCUGAGGUAUGUGAGGCAGUUGAAGAAUUCUUCCGAUUUGGAAAGCUGCUUCAGCAAUGGAACACUACAACUUUGAUCCUCAUUCUCAAUAUCACAAACGCCUCUUCAACAUCUGAUUUCAGGCCAAUAUCCUGUCUCAACACUAUUUACAAAGUCAUAUUCAAGUUAUUGGCAACCAGAUUUCAGAAGAUCCUGUCUCAGGUAAUAUAUCCCUCUUAAUAGGUUUUCAUGCCAGGUAGGCUGCUUGCAGAAAACGUUCUACUGGCUACGAAAAUUAUGCAUGGCUAUAACUGGAGGAACAUCGAUUCCAGAGCAAUGCUUAAGGUGGAUCUUAGAAAGGCAUUUGAUUCAGUAAGAUGGGACUUUGUCCUCUUGACCUUAAAAGCGUUGGAGUUAUCAGAAAUAUUUGUUAAAUGUAUCAGUCAGUGCAUCACAACUCCCUCGUUUACAAUUUCAGUUAAUGAUAUCACCAGAUGCUACUUCAAAAGCGCAAAAGGAUUAAGGCAAAAAGACCCUCUCUCUCCUUACCAUUUUUCCUUGCAACGGAGGCCUUCUCAGGAUUUUCCACUCUAGAUUUGAGGCUGGGUAUAUCCAUUACCAUCCCAAGACGGCAGAACGGAACAUAUCUCACCUGAUAUUUGCAGAGGACGUGAUGAUUUUUUUUAUGGUGGGAGUUCAUCGUUACACAGCAUAACUGAAGGAUUAGAAAACUUUGCGUCUUGGUCAGGAUUGCACAUGAACAGAGACAAGACUCAACUAUUUCAGGCAUGAGUAAACCACAUUGAAUCCACUGCAAUGGCAAGCUAUGAAUUCACUGUAGGUUCACUAUCAAUCCAAUACUUGGGUCUUCCCCUUAUGCAUCGUAAACUGAGACUCUCUAAGUAUGACCUCCUUUUGGAGAAGCUUGCUAAUAUAUUCAGAUCUUGGGCUGUUACAACCCUCUCAUUCCCAGGGAGAGCUCAGCUGAUUGCUUCAGUGAUAUUAGGAACCGUCAACUUCUAGAUUUCCACGUUUAUGCUCCCCAAAGGUUGUAUUAAAAAUUGAAUCUCUGUGUGCUAGGUUAUUGUGGUCUGGUAGUAUUGUGACAAGAUGAGGAGUAAAAGUAGCAUGGUUUACUGUGUGUUUGCCUAACUCUGAAGGAGGUCUGGGCCUGAGAAAAUUUUCUGUGUGGAACAAGACGCUAUGUCUGCGGUUCAUUUGGUUACUAUGCUCUGAAAGUGGAUAUCUCUAGGCUGAAUGGCAUAUCAGAGCUUCUGGUUGGUGGAGGCAUAUUCAGCUGAUUCAUGGACGUGGAAAUCUCUAUUGGAUCUUAGACCAUUGGCUGAAAUGCUCUUAGGAAAUCUGUUGGAAAUGGACGAAAAACAAAUUUUUGGUUGGAUUUUUGGACACCUCUUGGUCCACUAAUUAAACUUCUGGGUAAUGAUGGCCCGAGAAAUAUCAGGCUCCGUCUUUCUGCUAUAGUCGCAGAUACAUGCACAAUGGAGACUUGGAGAAUCCCAUCGCCAAGAUCUGUAGCACAGCUGAGUCUCCAUAUGCACCUAACGACUAUCAACUUACCUUCUUCCUCUCAGAUCGAAGAUGACUGUUUUUGGUUGGAAAAUGGUGUUAAGUGCAGCCAGUAUUCCUCCUCUAAGACUUAGGAUGAUCUAAGGCCACAACAAGGUGAAACAGUGGUCUAAGCUUGUAUGCUUUAAAGAUUGUGUUUCGAGGCAGGCUUUCAAUAUAUGGAUUGCACACUUGAAUAGGCUCCCCACUAGAGCCAGAAUAGCUUUUAGAGGAACAAAUAUAUUCACAGAUUGUUGUCUUUGUUCCAGAGACGAGGAAACGAGAGAUCAUUUGUUGUUCAGUUGUGCUUAUAGCUCGGAAAUCGGAAAUCUGGAGGCUGAUACUUACAAGGUUAGACCAUACCCAGAGUCUGUUCAUCUUGUGGUCGGAGUUGUUAUCAUGGAUAAGUAUGCGUUCUGAUGCUGCCCCUUAUACCUGAAAGGUGGUGGCUCAGGCUAUGGUUUACCACAUUUGGAUGUCAAAGAAACAAUUUGCUGCACAACUAAUAAAGGAUUCCUGCAUCCAGCAUUUUCAAGUCCAUUGAUCGUGUGACUCGAAACACCAUUACUACGAGAAGACAAAGACGUUGCUUUAGCAACUUUAAUGUCUCUUUGGCUUCAAUGAAACAAUAUAAAAUCUAAUUUACUGUGUAUUGUUCUCCUUGUUUUUUAUUUCUUUUUUGCCAAGGAAGUUUUGUAACAGGUUAGCAUCUUUUAUAACCUUCUUUUCAUUUUAAUGAUAUUAACAUUCAUAGCAAAAAAAAAAAAAAAAGAAAUGGUACUUGCAAUGUUUUACACCAUGUUUGUGUUUUAAAAAUAUUUCACACUACAUAUUCAAAGUUAUAAUGCAGGAUACAAUUUGUUUCUAGUCGAAAAGGUCAAAAAUAUCCAAAUUUUUUAUGUGGUGUUUUCAAGAAUUAUGCUUUUAAGAGAAUUUAAGAAAAUCGGACUAUUCUAUCGAGAUACUAUAACUUAUUCAACAGAAUAUCUAAAGCAUUUGUUCUGAAAGCAAGAAUUCUAGAUGCUCUUCUCCCCAUUUGUUUUUGGUCGAAUGCCACAAAAGAUGUUGAGAAUUAGGCACAAGAACCGGGUUCAAUAAGUUGACAAAUACCAAACCGAGGACCGACGUGGAAUCGUGGAGAAAAAGUUACAUUACAAUAAAGAUAAAUAAAGAAAAGGGAAGAUGACGUAAAGCUCAGAUUUGGAGCCUAACGAACUCCACGUCACCGCCUAAGUUCAUCCAUUGAAAUUUGACGGCGUCUUCUACUCUUCUAUCAUAACCCUUCGUUCUUUCAUGUGAACCACGUCACCGCCAUUCUCUUUUUUUUUUCUUUCUUAAUACAUUUCUCAAUAUGCGUCCAAUAUCAUAAAUAUAAUAUAUAUAUAUAUAUACAAUUUAACCUAUUAAGGCAUUGCAACUUGUAGUGAACUUUCAAAGGAACUUGCAUCCACAAAUUUAAACAUUUUUGCAUGUUGUAGAAUUGAACACGAAUAAUAAAGUGUGUAUUGAUGAUACACUUGUGUUACUUAUUUGACAAUUUAUUUGGUUUUCUUAGAAAAACUGAAACUGGCUUAUACAGUAUGUUUGUACACAUUUUUUGUAUUCGAAGAAAUUGGGGCAUCAUACAGUGACAUUGCUAUUAAUGUUUCUUCUAUAUCAAACCAAGUGAUAACAAAAUAUAAAAAGUAAUAAUGUUGACUUGUAAAUAAAGUAAGAAAAUUAAAUUCUGUCAUUUCAGAAGAGGAAGUAUGUCACAUGUAUAAUAGAUCAUCGAUACUUUUCAUGAGAACUUCCACAAGAAAGCCAUUGACUUCUUAUACCUUUCUCAAUUUUCCAGCUUGACCCAUUUUUUUCUUUUGAAGUUAUGAGAACUUUAUGUAUAAAAACAUUUUAGACUAGACCUCAAGAAAAUUCAGAUAUUUUUAUAAUUUGUGAAAAAAAUGUUGAAAUAAAUUGAUUGGAUUAUUUCUAUUACUAACGUUAAUCCAGUAUUAUGGUGGUCUAUAUUAUUAUUAUAGCCACCUAUACGGAAUGUUGAUGUGCCAAACAAUGGAGACACACAUUGUGUACUUGGAUUAAUGAAUAAAAUGACAUGUAUCAGUCUAUGGGACACAUAGUAAACUAGAUUAUUUCAUACCUAAAAUGCUAUAAUAUUUGAUUGAUAAAUGAUAAGAACAAAGAAAAGUUCUUGCAAGUUUGAAAAAAAAAAAGAGAAUAUCUUGACUCGUGCGGAUCUCAAACUUUUCUUUUCUAUCCUCUUCUCAAAUUAUAUUCCAAGUAAAACACGCAAUUACCAUAAGAGUUAAACAAUAUAAAAAGAGUUCUCAACUAAAUCUUCCAAAAGAGGCUUUCUCUUAUGGUUCACAUGUAAGUAUAUACUUUAAUUUACAUAAAAUUUAAUUUAACGAAUCCUAAUGAGCCUAUUUUCUGAACACGUACAAAUCAAUUUAAUGCAUAUCUUCACAUUUACACAAGAAUAAAGAAACUACACAUAUUUUUACUCCAUUGCUUCUGAAUUUAUAUAAUUCUUUCCAUUUAAUAUGAUUGAGUUUUUAUCCCUCUAACAAGGAAAAAUAUUAUAUAUAGAUACAAGGAAAGCCCAUUUCAUUAUCUAUCUUCUCUUUGAUUCAGCGAGCGAAAUAAAAACAAAAGGCCAAAAAUGGGUGCAGACGCAAUCCAAACGAACGGUCACGAUCCCGCCAAGUUAACCGCCGCGAGAGGGAUCCAACGGUUGAGAUGCGCCGUGAAGAACUACGAGUGGGGCAAACUCGGACCGGACUCACUUGUUGCGAGGCUCCACGAGGCGAAUUCAGGGGACCGAGUCGACCCGGUGGUUCCUCACGCCGAGUUGUGGAUGGGUACUCACGAGUCGGCACCGAGUUACGUUGUGAAGGAAGAAGAAUUCGGGUCGGGUCGUAAUGGAUCCGAAUGCAUGGUUACAUUGAAAUCAUGGGUUUUGGAUUAUCCGAAUUUACUCGGGUCUAGAGUCGUGGACAAAUGGGGUUGUGAUCUUCCUUUCCUCUUCAAGGUAUUAUAUUUUAAAAGUUUCCAAUUAAAACAUGUAUAUUCAAAACCUUCUUUCAAAAAAAAAAAAAAACAUGUAUAUUCAGAUUCUGUUUAUGGUAAAUCUUUUUGUUUUUCCAGUUUUGUCUCAUACAUAAUUGUUCAGGAACAAAAGUAUUAUUUAUUUGAUCCUAAGAUUCUCAUUUUGAAUAUUUUUGCUCUGUUUUGAGGAUUUUACUUUUUGACUCUGUUUUCUUAUAAAAUUUCUAAUUAAAAGUCAAAACAUAUAUAUAUAUAUAUAUAUAUAUGUAUUUUUUUGUAAUUUCAGAUUCUGUGAAUUGUCAAUUUCUCCACUUUUUAUAUUUACAUAUAUUAUAUAUACAGCCAAUUUGUCUUGUUAGAUACAUAUAUAUUUUGGCUCUGUUUUGAGGAUGAUACAUUUUAACUCUGUUUUCUCAAUUUAUAAAAAUGCAUUUCUUUUUCUCUGUGUGUUUUAAAUUUAAAACAUAAAGGUUUGAUUCUAAUGAAUAAGAGUUUGAUGUUGAAAUGUGCAAAAAAUAAAAACAGGUUUUGUCAGUGACGAAAGCAUUGUCGAUUCAAGCACAUCCAAACAAAGCCUUAGCAGAGAAAUUGCAUAGAGAAGAUCCUCUUCUUUACAGAGAUGCUAACCAUAAGCCUGAGAUUGCUCUCGCCAUUACUCCUUUUCAAGCUCUUUGUGGUUUCGUAUCUCUUAAUGUACUAGAUUCUUCACUUCUCUGCAAACAUCUAAUUUAGUCGGUUUUUGAUUUAGAUAACUUCGGUUAUUUUGCCUAUCACAUAUGCUAAAUCCAAAAUUGAACCGGUUCUGUACCACUUUUGAUAUCAAAUUCAGGAGCUGAAGGAAGCCAUCGCCAAUGUACCAGAAAUCACAGAGCUUGUCGGAAGUAAAGCAGCAGAUCAAAUCUUCAAAGUCAACGAACACGAUGGAGACGAAACAAGUGUUAAAUCCGUUGUCCGUUUGAUUUUCACGCAAUUGAUGUCUGCAAACAUCAAUGAUACAAAGCAAGUCAUAUCACAGAUGAAGAUUCGUCUGAUCUCAGAAACAAACCACCGUGAGUUAUCGGAGAAGGAGAAGUUAGUAUUGGAACUAGAGAAACAGUAUCCAGGUGACGUGGGCGUGAUCUCAGCAUUCUUCUUUAACCACGUCAAGCUUAAUCCCGGAGAGGCUUUGUAUCUUGACGCCAACGAGCCACACGCUUACAUUUCCGGCGACUGUGUUGAGUGUAUGGCGGCUUCAGACAACGUUGUUAGAGCUGGUCUCACUCCGAAACACCGCGAUGUUCAAACUCUGUGUUCUAUGCUGACCUACAAAUUGGUAACUUUCUUUACACGUUAACGUUUUUUUUGGUUUAGUUGGCUAGCAAAAUUUGGAUUGUACCCUAACCCUAACCAAAACCGAAAAUUUAUUUUUCUUUGUUUGGUUAUUGAUUAAUUGUACCGGAUUUGUUUCAGGGCUACCCGGAGAUUUUGAAAGGAUUUCCUCUGACUCCAUACAUUACGAGAUACCUUCCACCAUUUGAUGAGUUUGAAGUGGACCAUUGUGAUCUUCCUAGAGAGAAAUCCACUGUUUUUCCGGCCAUACCAGGGCCAUCGGUUUAUCUGGUUAUUGAAGGAAAAGGGACAUUGAAAACCGGUUCAUCUCAAUUGUUGGUUAAACGAGGAGAUGUUUUGUUUGUUCCGGCACAUAACGAGAUUCACGUAACCGGAGAAAGUGAUGUGAUGAAGCUUUACAGAGCUGGAGUCAGCAGCAGAUUCUUUCAAACAAUGUAGACUAAGUAAAGAUACAUAUAUAUAUAUUUAAUUUGUUAUCUAAAUGUAACCAUAGGGAUCAAGGCAUUGACGUGAUCAUAGUCAAUAUUGGUCCAUGUUCUUUAAUCCUACAAAUGUCCCAUUACGAAUCAAGGGUUCAAGGGGUUGUUUUUCUAUUAACUUUUGUUGUUUCUUCUACACCUUUAAAAUUGAAUUAUAUAUGUAAAAUGAUUAUAAAACAAUGUUUUUUUUUUUACUUUUUGCUAUUGUAGUGUAGUAACUAGUAAUUAUUCUUCCUUUACCUGUUUAAACUUUAAUUUCUAGAACUACUCUGCAAAAGCACAUUUGUUCAGUUGUAAUAUGUAGAGAUCGAACCACAGAGACGAGAAAUUCGCUCAAUAAACCUAAUAGACUCUAAUUGCGCUAAGAAGAAAUAAUGAAAUUGAGAGCAGCAAUGCAAUAAAAAACGGUUUUAAAUUCGAUGGGAAAGAAUUAGGCUCAGGGUGUUUCACAGAAAAUCAGAGAAUGCAGACAAAUCGAUUAGUCAUGAUUCAGAUUUAAGCGCAAUUCUUGAACUCAAAUCACGAAAUUAUAAUUAACUAACUUUUGUUGCGAAAAUUAUUUAAAUCUAAAUCCCAGAAUCCCAAUUUUCUUUGCAAUCCUAAAGAUAUAAAUUAGCCUUAAGUGCAGGUUCGAUAUGUUCACAAAGUGUCUAAACCAAUUUUUUUUGUGGAUAGCUACUUUGCUCAUCCUAGGUUCUUUCGGAUUAUUCAAUUACAGUUUCGUGUCAAUCAAUUAACCUAAGAUCUAAGUUCUAGGUGAUCAGUCCAAAAUUAGCUUUAAGAAUAAUCUAUGGUGAAUUACUAAUCAGAUUAUGACCCCUAACUAAUUAAUUAUCUAAAAUUCAAAGGGAUCCCUUAUGAGAACCCUAAACCUAACAAACAAACUACUCAAAUAUGGAGAUUGAAUCAAUAAACAUGAAUGAAUAGAUUGCAGAAAGCAGUAAAAAGAUUAAUAAACAGAGGUUCAAAAUCUUCUCUCAAACAAACAGAGUCUCAGACUUGUCUCCCUAAAAGCUCUCUCAAGAUCAAUAGAAAUCAAAAGUCUCAAAGAAAAUCUAGAGUGUAGCCAAAACACGUGGCUGAAAACCCUAUCAAAAGCUAAAACACAUGUUGGACUUCCCUGUAAAUAUUGGAGACUUCUGGGCUCAAGAGAUUCUUUAAAACUUAGACAAAAUCACGUUUUUCCUUAUUCACGACAUUGGUGUCGAGCAACACCAAAACAUAUAAAUCAUCUUUCACGAAUUUGAUCCCUGCUUAGUUCCAAAAUGCUCUAAAAUCUCCAAUUAAACUCCAAAUACAUUUAAGACCUGAAAAGACUCCAAAAAAUUAAAAAAACACUAAAGAGACUCUAUAAAUAAAACCUAUCAUGAUCAAAAACCAUAAAAAAAAACCAUGAUAUAUCAUUCUCCAUGAUAAGCAUUUUUCGAAUGGUCUGAGUCGAACAAAACAAUGUUCUCUAAAGUAUAAGGCCAAUUCUUUUUGCCUCCCUCGUCACUUACCUUUUGUUUGUGGCUUCCAUGGCAUAGACUAGAGAGAUGACCCCGAGAAGACCUAAUCUAGCACGCAUUUGUUUGGAUGUUGCUAAUGUUCCGUUUUAAAGUACAUAUGCAAAGAUCGUGGAAAGUAAAACGAACUCAAUCUUAAGUCUUGAGACAAUGAUUUUUGCCAAUUUUCCGGUAAGCUUUCCCGGUGAAAUCUUUCACUGGAAUGACCUGAUUAUGGAUGCGCUGGAAACUUGAGUACUAUAACGUGAUAUACUUAUAUGUCAAAAUCGAAUUUAAACUGAAUGAGAAAUGAGGAUUCUUAGAGAGUAUAGCUUGAAAGCUUAAAAAUAACAUAAGUUACCAAAUGACAAGUGUGAUUUGUCCCACAUUAGCAAUUCAACGUUACAUUUUGAACGUAGUGUUACGUUCUCCCCUUGAUAAUACUCAAUAGAUCUGCUUCUAGCCUGUCCCAACAAUCUGAUUCGGAUUGAGAAUUGCGGUUUUUGCGAACGUUGUUAAAGAUUUCCAAAAAAAAAAAUAUUUCAUUACGGCUUUUCACAUCAAAUCGGAAAAACUCUGCUUAGUUUUAACUUUUUAGGGAAUUUGAUAAAUAUUUGACAAACUUUGUGAAAAUAACUUUUGGAGUAGCAAAAUUCCGCAAAAAAAAAAAAAAAACUCAGAGUAAACUUACUGACAAAAGAAAAAAGUUUCCUCAAGUUGGUUUAGUCGCAUUCCUUUUGUCAAGCACUUAAUCCACUACAAAGACGUUUUGUUGUAAUUUAACCGAACUGAACAAUCAUUCCAAAUCUUAAUAAGCAGCUAAAGAGAGACAUUGAGAGACCAAGAUAAACCGGUUUACUUGCACCUACUUGCUGUUUGUUAAAGCUUUGGUUACAAAAUGUGAAACGAUUCCAACCGGACAGAAGAGAAGGCACAAUGAAACCGAAUGCCUCGUCUCAAUCUUAUUCUCUAGCCCAUCAUUAAAAACUUGCCUGCAGAGAAACACUCAAAACAUGAGUUAUAAGAAACAUGCUAGGAUCAAUCAGAACCUGAAAAGUGCAAUAUAGUACCUUGCAGCGAAAAGAUCUAUAACAAGAAGAUGAAUCCAAGCAGAAGCAAGAGUCAUUUCACUUGAGAACAUUUUCGCUAUUCCAGACAACUGCAAAUGAAAAAAAAAAAAAGAAAUUUUAGAAACUGGAAUGUACACAUUUUCUUGUUUUCGAUAUUUCCUGAUAAUUGGAGGAAAAAGCUAAAACCUCUGGCAACAUGUAUUUACUGGAAAACAUGUAUUUGAGAGUAUCAGGCGUCCAAGAAAGGUAUAACAAAUACGCGUAUAAUACGCCUAAGACGAUAUACGGUAUGCUACUCUCCAUACACUUUUUGGUCUGCACAAGGAGAAAACAUACACUCAAUUCAAUAUGAACUUUUUUGAUUCUGCACAAGAAGUUGUAAAACUGCUAAACAAAAACUCACAAUUUCAGCUUUUGGAGCUACAACCAUUAGAGUGUAAAAGGGUAAAACAGCGGUUGUUCCAACCGCAAAUACACUGCUUGCAAUCUGAGAAGUAGCUAUCCCUGCACAAGAACAUGUUAUGUCUCUGUCCUACUUUCAAUUUAAACAUUGAAGAGCUAUAGAUUCUAGACAUAUAUCAAGCCUCUUUUUGGUUUAUAAUGUUUCAGUUAAGAGACAUUACAUGAAGCUCGUACACCAGAGGAUUUCUUUUGAACAAGAGAGGACGAGUUCGAUGAAACAUUAGGGAAAAGUGCGAUUUUUGAUCCUCCGAUAAAGCUCCAACGAUUCUGAAGUCGAAUACUUGACGAACCAACGCAUAGUUUAGACUUGACAUUGCUGAGAGAAAGACUUGUUAUCGAGCUCUUAGCUGAAAUGUUGCGAUUCAUCAUCUGAAUCACCAAACAAAAUGAAUCAAUCUGAUGAAAUAUAAAAAACUUCUUUAUUUCUUAAAAUUUAGGAAUCUGAGACCAAAAGCACUUUGAUCUGAACAACAACGAAUCAGGAACAGAGUUAGGUUCUGUAACAGGGACCCAUGAGGAGUAAAUUCAACUUCUUUAAUGUCUGCGUCAAUUCGAUCUGAUUCAAAGGAUAAAACUUUAAGGUUACCCAUAAGGAAUCUGAACUAUUCGAAAUUGUAGAAAGCUCGACAUAAGAAUCUAAUCCGACAAUCUCCAACAACUGUACAUACAUACAUACAUACAUACAUACAUGAUACAUACAUACAUACAUACACACACAUAGAUAUAGACAUAUAUCUGCGUAUACCGAAAAUUGGAGAAGAAUUGAAAAAGGAAGAGAAAAGGUAGAUACCGAGAGAGAUGAAGAAGACAAAGGCUGGGAAAUGCAAGAAGAUAAAGCCAUCUGCGAUUCAAAUCUUCAAUAGUCUUUGCCAGAAUUUGGCCAUUCAUUACCUUCUUCAACGAGCUCUCUCCAUAUAUAUAUGUAAAGUAUCAAUUUUUAGAGAGGAGAGUUGAGAGUUUUCCACUGGUUGAAAAGGGUAAGUGGAGAAGAAGCUAAGAGAAAAAGUGCUCACUCACUCUUUCUUCAUCAGUGUGGACAAUUAUAGUUGCUCAUCCACCCGAAUUUUUUAAAAAAGUUUUGGUCUUUUUUAGUUUUCCUCGUUUACUUCUGUUUCGCAUAAACAAAAAAAAAAGAAAAAACCAUUAUGAGUUUGAGUUAAUUUUAAAGAGAAAAUCAAAUUUAAAGAUUCUUUAUAUUGUAUGUUCAAAAUUGCAAUAUAUUAUGGAAAAAAAGAGAAGAUUUUUUCCUAAUUUUAGAUAAAAACCUUUAAUAAAAAUCAAAAAAUUAUUAAGAUAUUAAUUUAACCUUAUAUUUUAGAUAUUGUUCUUUUUCUGGUCAAUAUAAAAAAUUACAGUUUACCAUUCUUAUAUAAAAAAAAAUUAAUUAGACUCAAAUGGAAUGUUUUUAUUUUUUUAACAAGAAUAUAACUUUCAUAGAACCUAAUACCCAAAAAAAAAACAUUUGACCCGACUAAAUUAAAAUUCAAGGAAAGAUUGGAGCUUUGAUCCUUUACUCGAUAAAAAAAAGGUUCUUCAUUGUAUGAUCAAAUGACUUGUCGGAUUGUAUUUGUAGGUGGCUCAUCGUAGGAUUAAUAGCUUCUCGGAUUUUGUUAUCCUUGUCUUGUGUUUUGCUUUUUCCGUGAAGAUCAAAAUUUUCUUCUAUACAUUCCUGCUAUAUAUUCCAUCAUGUUCUACCGGUUACACUUAUAAGCCUAUAAGGAUAUCUAAUCUACUUUUUUAUUUGAUAAAAACCUAAUAUCUUUGUUAAUGGAUAUUUGUGCUUAAACUGAAUUUAGACACAACACAGGUCUAGUUCAGGACAGAACAAGACAAAAGUGACAGUGCUACUUCUACUCAGCAGUGGUUGUGACUUCCUCUAAAGACAAAAGUUGGUGUUUCCACCAUUAUUUCGGUUUUGCUUUUAUUAUAUAUUUUAUUUUAAUUUAUUUUUCGCUACAUGAGAAUUGCAUUAACGAAGGACAUUAUAUAUGAAAACAAAAAAAAACAAUAAAAAGAUAUACAUACAUGUGUCUGACACUCAUUGUUUGUGAAAUCAGUUGGGAGUAAGAUAGCGCUUGAGUGGGCUAUUUGGUAUGAUAGCUUCUCUCUAUUGAUGGGCCUUAUUGACCCACCCCACUUCAGUUUUGUUUAGUCAUUCACAACAAGAAAAACAUGAAAACAAAAGCAACACUUGUCUUUUCUAUCUCUCAAUCUGUAAGUGGUAUAUGCGCAUUUCGUUGAAUUCGAUUGAGACCAAAACUCUUUUAAAACAUAAUGUAUAGUUCUUAGGAUUAUAUGGGGAAAAUAUAUGAUGUCUCAAAGAUUUUUCAUAACAUAUUAUAUUCCUUAUAAUAAAAGGUCACCUGGGGUUUUUCUAUAAACCGGGGUUUUUUUAUAAACCGCCGGCUUUUCUAUAAACCGCCGGCUUUGUCUCUGGAGAUGUUGUAUCAUCUGCCGGCUUUGUGUAAUCCGUUGGCUUUGCUCUGUAACACUAUGGUGAUCAAUAUAAUAAUAUUCAAUGAAAAAAAAAAAAGGUCACCUAAAUAAUUAAAAAUUUGAAUUUUUACGACUCAUAUUUCUAUCCUAUUCCAAAGCUAGGAAAACAACAUAAAGAGUUACAAAUUCUUACUAUAUAGUACUUCCAACAAUAUCUUUAUGUAAAUUUGUGCCAAGUCAUUUUGAGUGGAAAAUGUAGAAUAUAUGAUCCACAAGAUCCUUGAAUAUACUUGGGUAUAUAGAAAUAAAAAUGAAUAUCCGAGACUCUUAUCUACAAGCCUAUCCUUAAGAAGGCACGUCCACGAAUGUUUCUAUCACAGAUUUUCAGUGGGCCAUCAUCUAUUACUUCAAGAUAUUGUUCUAAAAAUGCAUCUCAACCUCAAGCUUACUAAUCAUGUGACAAAAGUGAUAAUGUGAAUCUAGUUUUUCAAAUAAUUUCUUUAUUCAAUGACGACUAAUCAAAGAGUUGGUAUAUUUUUGUAUUCACAGUUCUUCAACUUUGUAUAUUUUCAUAUCUUGAGCCGCAUUGUAAUUUGUUUUUUCUUAUAUGCAAAAUUCAAAAUCAAAGAUUUAUAGAACAUUACAUAUUUAUUUCAUCAGACAUUUGAGAAUCCGAUAGAAAAUGUCUCGCAAACCGGAAAACAAACGUUAAAUCCGGAAAUUAAAACAAAACUAAGGAAACCAAAAAAAAAAAAGCAGAUGAUAAAAUCAAAGGUGAGGAGGGAGAUAAAGUUUUUUUUUUUUGAUGUUUACACAAAGCAAAGAAGCAGUGAAAUUAAGCAUCGGUGAAGCUUGCUGGCUUGUAGGCGAUGAAACUGAUGCACUGGACUUGACGGGUGUUGUCGAAUCCGAUGAUCCUAAUGAAGGCCUGGGGGUACUCCUUCUUGCACUCUUGCACUUCCUUCAACACUUGAGCUGAGUCAGUGCAUCCGAACAAAGGAAGCUUCCACAUUGUCCAGUACCGUCCAUCGUAGUAUCCGGGAGUGCUUCCGUGCUCACGGUGCACAAAUGCGUUCUACAAAAACACAUUACACAAAACCAUUCAAAAACAUAAAUCAAGAUUCUGCUUAGGACCUCUAAAUAGUUAUUAACUUGAUUGCAAGAUUCAUAUGGUCCAAGAGAUCAAGCUACUCUAUAAAUGAUUUUUAUUACCUCCAACUCGAAUUCAACACAGGGAAUCCACUUGUUGCGGAGAAGGUAGUCAACUUCCUUAGCCAAUUCAACUUCGGUUAGGUCAGGAAGGUAAGAGAGAGUCUCAAACUUCUUCUUACCAAUAGGAG
rnacentral:lncRNA from 1 species